rnacentral:lncRNA from 1 species
GCUCUAUGAACUUGGAAGGAAGAUAUGGUCAACCAAAGGAGAAGAGCAGGAAACAGCCAAGAAGGAAUUCAUAGAGUGCCUCAAGCUUCUGGAAGGAGAGCUUGGAGAGAAGCCUUACUUCGGCGGUGAAAAAAUUGGGUUUGUGGAUGUGGCUCUGGUGACCUUCUCUUGCUGGUUUCAUGCAUAUGAGAGCUUUGGAAACUUCAGCAUAGAGGCGGAGUGUCCCAAGUUGAUAGCUUGGACCAAGAGGUGCAUGGAAAAGGAGAGCGUGUCGUCUUCUCUGGAAGACCCACACAAGGUCCAUGGCUUUGUUAUGGGGAUGAGAAAGAAGCUUGGCAUAGAAUAACUAUUUUGUAGUGUUGCUGUGGUAAUAUUAGAUAUAUGUGAGUGUUUGGCUGUUUGCUUAAGUUUUUGCUUUGAAAUUGUAUGGUUACUAUUUGCAGUUGAAACCCCUUUUGGAGGGUUGGUGGGUUUGCUGGAAAGAAAUGUUUUGAAUUUGUUUUCAUUUGUUUUGGACUGGACUAGAGAGGUGUUCUUUGUAUUCCAUCAUUUCGUGUCAUAAACAAGUAUUAACACAAGUUGGAUAAGGCAUGCCUCUGGCCCUUUAUGGUAACGUACAAAGAUAUCAUGGGCCUACAAAGAUAUCAUGGGCUACAGAAUAGGUUAGGGCCCGCUUUUUAAAUCACUUUUUUUAACUAAUAUGUUUGGCAAAAGAUGUUCUUCAAUAAUUUAAUUCAUCUUCCUUGUCGGUCAUUUUAAGUAACAAGAAAAUGAAAAAGAAAUAAGAGAAAAGUUCAAUCACGUUCCAUAAUGUUUGUUUUUGAAAAUUGCUUUUAUGUUAAACAAACAAAAAUAAUUUUUUAAAAUUUUAUAAAAUUUUAUAAAAUAAGGAUGUUUGACAAGUUAUUUUGAAAUUGGUUUUUCUUUUAAAAAAAAAUAAUUUUUCUAUGUUGAUUUUGUAAAAAUAUUCUAAAUUUAAUUAAUAGAAAUUUAAUUGAGGUCUUAUAAAAAAUGAAAUUAGUUUUAAAUUAUAAAUAAAUUAAAAAUAGUAUAAUAUAUCAGCGUGGACCUAUUUUUUUUACGUGCGUCCUCACUCGACGAUGAGACUCGUUUUUUAUUUAUUUGGUGAAAAAUAUGAUUUUUAGAAAAAGAUUUGAAGUCCUCAUUGAUUUUUGUUUUAUUUUUCAAGGGAAAGACAAAAUAAAAAAUAAAAACCCUAAAUAUGAUUUCUGAAGGAAAAAUAGGUUUGUGAAAAAUCGAGUUUGGGUUUGGGGAUCAAGUUACUUAUUAGGAAGGUAUGGUAAUGAGUUAUAACACCCCUCUAAGCUCGUUUAUGUACGACCUCUACUAAAUGAAUUAAGGAAAUUGUGACAAUUAAUUAAUUAAUUAUAGAUACCAAGAAAAAUAAUCAUGUAAAUGAGUAUGUACAAGUCAAGGUGAAAAUUAAUAUACACAAAAAUAAUGAUGAAAUCUAAUUACAAGAAUACACAAAAUAAAUAACAAAAGAAUUAUGCAAAAAUAAUUUAUUGAACUAAAUAAAAAAUAUUAAAAAAAUAGUUUUCAAGAAAUUUCGAAGGAUUUUAUUAAAAAUGAUUUUUAAUUAAUGAUUUUAAUUUUUUUUAUUUACAAAAAAGAAGUUUCAAUUUAUUUUCAAUUAAUGAUUUGAUUCAAUUUCAUUUGUAUUUAAUUUUUUUUAAAAAAAAAGUUAUUUGCACUUAUUAUAUCAAAAGAAUUUAUUACAAAAUUUCAAUUUGGUAAUAAAAAUGAUUUUUACUUGCUUUUACAAAAAAAAUUACAAUUUUAUUUACGAAAGUAUUUCACUUUGUUUUAAUUUGAGAAAAGUGACUUAUACAAAUUAUUAAAAAGAAUAUAACUUUAUUUGCAAAAGAAUUUUUAAUUAAAAAUUAAUUUUUGGGACAACUUUAUUUACAAAAUAAUGUUUGGACAAUUUUUAUUAAACAAAUAAAUUUUUGGACAAUUAUUAUUAAAAAUAAUUUUUCAAAUUCUAUUAAAAACAAUUUUUUUGGAUUUUUCUAAAAGCAUUUUUUUGAAUUUUUAUUAAUAAAAAAAACUUUCUUUUAUUAAAAAGAAUAUUUUAAAAUUAUUAUUUUAUUAGAAUAUAUUUACUAAAUUAUUCCUCUUAUUUAAAUGACAAUUUUGAUUUGUUAAAUAUUUAAUUCUGUAUAUACUCAAUAAAUAUAUACAAACUAAUAUUUACAAGAACUAAUAGAAAUAAAAUCAAACAGAAGUGAGCAAUAAAACGUGUACCCAAAUAAGGUUACAACAAGCUUAAUGUCUCUCUACAACUUUUUUAUUCUUACUUUCUUCCAUGAAAUUUUGUGCUUCACGUGUUAUAAAUUUGUACUCAGCCAAUAGAAUUGCAGAAUAGGCCCAUGCAAAAACAAAAAUAGUUCAAAUGUAAAUAUCCAAAGGUGUACAAAAUCCUUAACAAAUAUUCAAACUCAAAUUCAAAUUUCAAAUUAGUUCGAUAAAUCUUGUCAAUCAAAAUGGACACAAAUUAACAAAUAUAACCUAACAAAAACAUCUCACAUGCUAUAAACCUUAAUCCAAAAAUUUCAAAUUAAUAACCAAAAUACAACACAAUUAGCCAAGCCCAAAAUAUCACAAAAUAAAAUAAAUUCAAUUAGGCCUAAAUUUAAUAUUUCAUAAUCCAAGCCUAAUUUAAUAUACACCAUAAUUGUCCCACAUCCAAAUUAAAUAGUUCAAAUUGGUGAAGCUCAUAUCAAAUAUUCAAGUCAUCAAUCAAAUUUCACCCACAUUGUGGACCCAAAAUCCAUACCUAUAUUAUGGGUCCAAAAUUCAUAUCAAUUAACAAGCCCACAUUAAUAAUACACAUGACCAAAGAAAAUAAUUUCCCAAGCCCAAUCCAAUAAGCCCAAAUAAAUAACAUUAGAUUCAAGUCAAAAUCAAUUACUAUGCAAACAAAAAUAAAAAAAUAAAGAUAAAAAAAUGAAAAUAAAAUAAAGUAAAAAGGAAAUUUACCCUUUUUUUUUAUAACUAUGGGUGGUAGGAUUGCUAGUCGGCAGUGACUGGCAGGUAAUGGCGGGUGGUGGCGGGCAGUGGUUGUCGGUAGUGGUGGGUGGUGGUUGGCCGGUAGUGGCCGUGGAGUGUGGGGAAGGGAAAAGGAAAGAAAAAGGAAGAGAAAAAAAAAUGAAGGAAGAUGGGGAGCGUGUGACAGUGGGGGUUUGUGGAAAAUGGCAGUGUAGAGAGAAGGACUAUGAGAAGAAGAAAAAAAAAAUGGAAGAGAAAAUGGGGACCAUCGUGUGUGAUAGUUGGGGGGAAGAAAAAAAAAAGAAAAAAGGAAGGGAGGAGAUGGGAGAGUUGACCGUGUUUGGUGUGUGGGUCGUGGAGCGGUUGUUGUGUUGGAAGGGAGCCUGAAGAAGAAAUGAUGGAGGAAAAAAAAGUGAAGAGAGGAACGUAGAGAAAGAUGAUAAAAAAAAAAAAAAAAAAAAAAAAACUUGGAGGGGGUAUGGGGAGUGGCUUAGACAUGUAGGAGAAGGAAAUGGGUAAGGGAAGUAGGUGGAGUGGGUAGAAUGAGGGGAAAGAGGAAGAGAGAAGAGAGAAGAGAGUGAAAAUAAAUAAAAUUAAAUUAAAAAUAAAAAUAUAAUAAUAAUAAUAAUAAUAAUAAUAAAUAAAUAAAUAAAUAAAUAAAAAUAAUAAUAAAAAUAAUAAUAAAAAUAAUUUAUAAAAUAAUAAAAACUAAGAAUUAAAGGGUGUAAGUGGGCUAAACAAUUAAGAUGUAAUCAAAAUUUAAAUCUAAGGAUAAAAUUGAGCUCAAUAUCAAUGUAAAAAUAAAAUUAGGACAAAUUUUGGGGUCUACAAUCGGUUUUCAUAUAUUAUUUCUUAUGGUGAUUAGAUCUAUUUACUAGGUUGUAACUUAAAAAAAAAAAAAAAAAACCUAUUAGUAAAUUCAAUGUUACUUGAUUUGAAGUUUAUUCUUUAAUAAAAAAAUUUAUAAAAAUAUAAGUAUGUAUAGAAAAAAAGUAGACUCAUUAAAACCCAAUUUUUAUCCAUAAAUUUUUAAUAUUAACCACUAUUUAAGUUUUAAGUUAUUUAAAAAAAUUACUAAACUCAUUAAUUAAUUUAAUGUAUUAAGUUUUGUUUAAUUUGGAUUUUAUUUGUCUAGUGAAAUAAAUAAAUAAAAAAUAUAGUUUCAUGUAGAAGAGAAACAAUAGAGUCAUUGUAGAUUAGAACUAGAAGUUAUAAAAAAUAUGUAAAAUAUAUAUAAUUAUAUAGCUGGAGUUUAUAUUAUAAAUUAUAAAGUUAAAAAAAAUAUAAAAAACUACCUUCAAUGUAAUUUCUAAUUUCUUUUAAUUAUAAUGUAUAAUCAAAAGUUAGACAAAACAAAAUUGUACACUCAUAAGUUAAAUAAUGAAUAUUUCAUAGCCUCAAAGGUGUAUACAAUUUUACACAUUUUUGUUAUGAUAAAAAUAAUCCAUAGCCAAAAACUAUGAAAGCGAUCAAUUCGUAAUUUUUAUUUUGUUAAUAUUACAUGAUGUUCAUGCAUUUUUUUAAACCAUAUUUAUAAUAAUCCUAUAGCGAUAAAAUAUAACAAAAUCUUAAAUCGUUAUAGUUUUAUUAUAGAAUAUUAACUGGAUAAAUAUUGUUAGAUAAUUUAAUUAAUUUAUUUUAAUAAAUUAAAAUAUUAUUCUAAUAAAAUUAUUUCAAAUAUUAUUCUAAUUUAAAAAUUACUAGACUGUUAAGUCUUGUUUAAUUUUGAGUUCAUUUAUAUAGUAAAAUAAAAUUGGAAAAUAUGAUUUCAUGUAGAAGAAAAAUAAUAGAGUUGUUAUAGACUAAUUUUCAUCCAUAAAUUUUUAAUAUUAAUUACAUCAUUAUUUGAGUUUUAAGUUAUUUCUAGAAAUUACUAAAUUUAUUAAUGAAUUCAACACAUUAAGUUUGGUAUAAUUUUAAGUUUAUUUGUCCAAUGAAACAAAAUUGGAAACAAUAAAGUCAUUCAAGUUCAAUUUUUGUCCAUAAAUUUAUGGUAUUAAUUGGAUCACUAUUUGCAUUGCAAUUUAUUUUUAAGAAUUACUUAGACUUGUUAAUAAAUUCAACGCAUUAAGUCAUACUUGAUUUGGUGAUUAUUUACUAAGUGAAAAAAAUUGUAAAAAUAUGAUUAUAUGCAAAGAAAAAACUAGCCAAGACAUUUAAAUGAAUUUUGGUGUAUGAUAUUCUAAUGUUAGUGAGUUUCAUGACUUUAUAGUACUAACUAAAUCAAUUUUUGACUUUUAAGUUAUUUUUAAAAAUUAGUAAAUUUUAUGUAUAAAGUAUAAUUUGAUUUAGAAUUUAUUUUAUCAAUGAAAAUUUUCUUAAAUUAAAUGAAAUUCAUUAAAACACAUGUAAUUUAAAAGAAUAUUAUAUUUGAAGAUUUUUAGUAUCGGUAUUAGAUCGUAGAAAGAGGUAAAGAAGAAUGAUAUCAUCUUCAAUCUUAUUUGCUUUUUAUAGUUUUUUUAAAUUCCUCUAUAUUUUUCUUUUGCUUUUAAAAAUUGAUGAAAACAAUUUCUACUUGUUUUCUAAAAUAUGUUUUUUAUUUCACUUUAUUUUUAAAAAUUACAAAUAGAAAACAACUAACAAACAAUUUUAUGAAUUUUUAAAAAUAGUUUUUUUUUUAAUUUUUAAAAACAAAAGUUAUUUUUUAAUGAAAUGGCCAAAUGGGCUAAAAACUUUUCAACAGCAAAUUUUGAGAAUUUGGGUCAAGUGCUAUGUGCUCUUGUACAAUCCUCCACUAUUUUUGGCCUUCAUGUCACCGUUGUCAACUUUUACUGUGAAUAAGUUCACGAGCUUAUCUUACUUUAUAUUCGAGAGCAAGGAACAAGAUCUUGAGAGAUGCUUGGUUUGUUUUUUUUUUUGUAUUAAAGAAAUAAAAGAGUAUUCACUUACUAUUCCAUUUUGUACUAAAAAAAUUUGAUAAGACAUUGAUAGGCAUGUAAAUAUUAUAACAUUUAAAUAAACUAAAAAUAUUUUUGUUAUAUUAUUUUAAUUUUAAUUUUUGAACUUUCAUAUUAACGUUCGUUUUAAUUUUUCAUAUGAUUUAAAAUUGAUCAUGGUUCUAACCUUUUACUAGGCUAAAAUCUUUAACUUUUUUAGAUACAUAAAAUAGAAAAUAAAAUAUAUUUUCAUAUAAAUUGUAUUAACAUUUCUUUAAUUAAUUUUUAUAUUUCUUAAAAUACAUAUAUCUUAAAAUACAUAUAUCUUUUUUAAAAAAUAAGUACAUCAUUUAGAAAAAUAGGUACAUCUAAUAUAAAAACAUGUACAUUUCAUUUCAUCGGGGAUUCUUAUCCUCAUUCAACCUAAUUCGGGUGUGGGAUUUCACUUAUGUAGGUCUCAGAAUGCAUUUGAGGUCUUCUUAUACCCUAUUCAACAUGAUAUAACUUUGUGUACAUGUUUUAAAAAAAUGUAUAAAAGUUUAGAAAAGUAUUUACAUCUAAUUUGAGUUGAAUCAUUCCCUUAUUCGACCUAUUUUGAAUCUAAAUUUUAACUUCUAUAUACCUCAUGAUGCAUUCCCAAACCCUAUUUGGCAUGGUAGAACCCUAGGUACAUAUGUUACAAAAAUAAGUAUACUCUUAAGAAAAAGUACAUCUUUUACAAUAAUAACUAUAUUCUUAAAUAUAUAUAUAUAUAUAUAUAUAUAUAUAUACAUUCGUAAGAAAAAUGCAUAUAUUUGAUUUGAGGUUAACCAUGAUCCAAUUCAACCUAAUUUGGAUAUAAGAUUUGACUUAUAUAUGCCUCAAAAUGUAUUUUAUGCCUUCCAAAACUUCAUGUAGCAUGGUAGAAGUAUAGGUUCUGAAAAGGUGAAUCUCAAUAGUGGAAUACACCUAAAGGGGGGUUGAAUAGGUGUUUUGACCAAUUGAACAAAAUCUCAACUCAAAUUAGUAAACCUUAAAACUUCUUGAAUAUUUUUCUUCUCUUCACAAAGUCUAAAAAACAAAUUAUAAAUCACAUGAAUAUAUGAAUGCAACAACACUCCCCAACAAUAUUCAAAUGAAAUUCACAUGCACAUGAUCUAAUACUCCUAAACCCAAAUCAACUUAAAACUAAAUUAUGAUAAAAACAAGAUCAAUAUACAUCAAAAUAUCAAUGAUUAACAAUCAGAAAUGACUUCAAAGAUAAUUCAUAGCCAUUUCUCUUUAUCAUUCAAUCAAAUACUAGACAAUCAAAAUUAUAAUAAAUUGUAGAAACUAAAAAAUGAUGCGAAGAAGAGAAAACGAGACAAUGAGACACCAUAAAUUUACAUGGAAAAUUUUUGAAGAGAUAAAAAACCAUAAGCCUACUACCAAUCAAAAACAUCCACUAUGAAGAAUAAAAACUAAAUACAAGGUUUUACCUAGCUCAAGCCAACUAAUCCUUCCCGGACCACUUGACUAGUACCUUCACUUUUAGUUUCUCACAUUCUUAUUUUAGAGCACAUUUGGAGUCUACACCAAGCUCGAUCUCGACCUCUUAUUGAUUUCACAUAAGAAAAAAAUGGGUUUUUGUGCAAAACCAAGAGAAUUAGAUAUGAAUGUUUCAAAAAUCAACCCAUGCUCAUUUUCAAAAAAUCCAUUUUAAAAAAAUUUCUUAGAAAACUUGGAUGGAUUUUCUUCGUAGGUAAACACCCUUAAAAUGGUGAGGAAAGAAAAAACUCUCUCACAACUAUUGUAGUCACCACUUAUAGAGAUGGAAGAGAUUUGAUUUUAAAUGAGAAAGAAACCCUUAAUCGAAGGGUUGAAAGUUGAUCUUAAAAAUAGGUUGGUUGGAUCAAUCUGCCUCUACACUUAGAUCAAUCCAAAAACAGGGGAACAAAAGCCUUGUGCUAAUAAUAUUUCUCCUUGUUUUCUUAACUCAUUUAAAGAUGAAAAAACAGGGUUGAUUCAUAUUCAAUCACCACACUCGACUAUAUACCUCAGCCUCUUAGCAAAGUUUUAAUCUUCAAAGGUCAAGUAGUCCGAAGAGGGAUUUGUAAACUGAGUUAGGGGACACUUAGGAAUUUUGUUUGAAAUUACCAACCUAGCUAAACACUCACAAUCUCCUCCUUUGGCAAUUCUGGGACAAAACUCUUUACAAUACGAAUGAGUACAAGUAAGUAAGUCCCACCCAACUCUCAUACAAGGCCACACACUCACUCAAAACCUCACCAAAGGUGCUACAAAUCCUAUAAAUAAAUCUCAAGAAAAAACUUUAGGAGCACUUGCACAUAUUACCAAGACACUUCCAUAAGUUUCGAAUGAAUUGAUACACAAAUAUCCACAUAUAUCCACAAAAUCACAUGUCUAAAGAUAGUUAAUAUGCAUUCAUGAGUUCAAAAACGUGUCAAAUAUCCAUCGAUAUACAAAAAGGGUGAUCAUGAUCAACAUAUCAAAUAUCCAAAGCAACAAAACACAAAGAAACCGUCAUGAUCAACUACAUGUCAUAUCAACAUCCAUGUAAAAUGUAAAAUGUUUCCUAAUUUUUGUCCCAGUAGGAGACAAAAGGUCAUAAUCUCCCAUUUUCUAUCUUAGAAAAAAGACAAAUGAAUGAGAAUUCAAUAGCAUAAUAUCUCACAUCCAAAUCAACAAACAUCCACUUUUCAACAAAAUGUCAAAUACCCAAAAAUCAAAUAUUCACAUAUUACCAAGUAUCCAUAUCAACAUUUCAGAAAAAAAAAAUUAUAGGAUACAAUAAUCUCCUCUUGACUCCCAUCACAAGAUAUAAGAAUCUCUCCCUGAAUCCUAUCACAUGGUUUCAAUUAAAAACUUUCAAAAAAUAUGCUUUAUCACCAUGAAAAUAGAUUUCAAGCAUGAAAAUUUAUGGAAACCACUCAAAAUGAACAACCAAAGCCUAGGAUUAGCAUUCCUAGAAACUAGGAACACUCCAAGGCAAAAAUGAAAUCUCAAACUAUUAAAACUAUUGUGAGAAGACUCCACACACAAAAAAUAAAUAAAUAAAAUCCAAAUGAGACUAAGGGCUGAUUGGAAUUUCCAGAAGUGUAGAUUGUGUUGUGUUGAUUGUGCUGUGAAAAACAUAGUCCUAAGGGUUGAUUGGAAUUUCCAACUGCUGGAACGGAAUCCCAACUACACAAGAUACAAUCUAGUGACGCACAUUGGAGGUCCUAGCCAACACAUACUAUGUAGAAGGCAAUUUCUGACAACACCGACGCACUAAGAAGAGACACACAGACCGACGACAUGAGUUGGACAACACAACAAUUCUAGGCUAUUCGACGAGGCUGUUUGGUGGGAUUGGCUAGACUUGAAACGCUCACCAGAUAGGGAAGUCUGACUAUAAAGGUUUCCAAUGGUAGAGACUUAUGACGGUAGUGGUCGGAAUGAUGAACCGACGAUGAUGGCUAAAGAGAAGCAUAGAGUAGAGAAGUUUCCUUCUUUAGAACAAAAGACCUAGGGCUUUUGAAAGAAAUGAAUUGGGAAAAACUGAUUUAGGGAUUUUGACUUUUUUACUUUUAGUUACGAAAAUACCUCUCAUCCAUUAAACCAUAUGAGCAUAACUAGUUGGGGGCAAAAAUGGAAAUUUUCACAAAUGCAUAAGUGGUAUCGAUUUUAGUGGAUUGAUCUAGCUUUCGAUUGUGCUCUCGAUGAUACACAGUCACAUAGGUUUGAACAUACCAAAUUUGAAAAAAAUGGUUAAGUGUGUGAGAGACAAGUACUAGGUGGUAUCGACCUUGGUGGAUCGAUCUAAGAUUCAUUCAAGGGCUCUCGAUCACUACAUUGUGCACACAAUGGAUCGAUCCACAAAUUCAAUAGAUCGAUCGACACCUAAUUGAAAAAUGACUUAGGCAAAAACUAUUGAAAAAUCACAAGAAAUACACCAAUAGGCUUUCCAAAAACUGAAAAUUGAUUGACCAAAGAUGAGAUACAAUAGGAUGGCAUACUUAUAUUUCAAUUAAUGAGUUAGAGUUGAUUCACAUUGAACAAAAAUGCUUCCAAGAACUUAACAAUGGACAAAAUUAAUAAACAUAGAGAUUGAAGUACUUUCCAAAUUUAUCAAAUGAAUAGGUAAAAAACAAAUGAUUAUCAACACUCUAACAAGGAAGCUUAAGCUAAAAAAAAAAACUCACUCAUGACACCAUAAAACGGUGAAAAUGUUAAAUAAUUUCCACUUAUAAACCUAUAUUCAUUUAUGAGCCAAAAAUCAUUUUCAAGAUACUCUUCCUUUCUAGAGAAAUUCAAGAUAAUGUUCCAAGAAGUCAAUUUGCAUCUCUCUUGGCUAGAUUUCUGUUUAACAUGACCUAAUCACAUCCCUUUAAUAAAAUUCAUACACUAUUUGCUUUUCAUAUUUAGCAUUGAAAGGAAUACAAAGCUAUAAGUUUUACCUUAAAGAUCAGUUUUUGACUUGAGGAUCUCUAAGGACGCCUUUACAACAUAACAACAUAAGAGAUGUCCCACUUUUGCAAGGGAGGCUUUUUAAUUCUUGAAACACUGCCAAAGAGCCAUAUCCAUUCCGGGAAACUUCAUAUUUUCUUUUUCUUUUCUUUUUCAUUUUUUUUAAAAAUUUAAUUUCAAAGAGAGGACAAACAAUCAAAGAUUGAUAUUCUCAACCUCUCAAGGAUAUUCCAGGUGUCUUUACUCACUCUUUAAUGCUCAUUAAAUGGGUAUAAGUUUACAUUUAGACUUUAAAGAGCAUUAUUCACCAUUUAUGCAAACACAAGGUCUAACAAUGAGCUUUUUCUCACUUAAUAGAAAUGAAGCUAAUCAUUUGUAGUUUAUCUAACCAAAUCAAAAUAGCAAGGAUUCAAUAUCAUGUUUAUCAAACAAGCCAUGGAGAUAAAGACAUCUUGAAGCUUUUAAGAUCAUGAUGAGUUAAUUUAACUUUUAAACAAAAUGAAUAAGCAUGUCACUCUCAUGAACUCAACAAUUGUUGAAAAUUUAUGAAAAAUGGAGAAAAGAUUGAACCAAAACAAAAAGAACAUCAAGUUGAUGAUAUUUGGGAACUUAGGAAGACAACUAGGACUCAAGAAUAUGCAAGAGGAGUCCUAGACAAGUUUUAGAGGCAAUUAAAUAGAGAGUAUAUAAACCUAUGGGGCUCCUAAGUGAUUCAAACCUAGAAAUGUCCAAAGGUUUAGUAACAUUGUUAGCAAUUUGACUUUCUAUAGGGAAAAACUCUAGUGAAACAACCUUGUCUUCUACCAAGUCUUGAAUGCAGUGAUGCUUAAUGUCCACAUGUUUUUAUCUAGAAUGAAGAACACGGUUCUUUAACCUAUCAAUAACAUUGGCAUCAUCAAAUUCCUCCCCAUCAAUCUUAACUUUUACAAUGGGAUGCUCUUUUUCAUUUUGCAACAAUCUAUGUUGUAGCAAGUGAUUAACACAUACAAUUUUAGAACUUCCACACACAAGAGAAGAGGAUGAAGGAGAUUUUUUACUAACAACAUAGCACUUAUCACAAAUUCUCAAGCCCAUCAUCACACAUACAUCAUUCAAGUUAAACACCUUGCAAAAAUUUUGUGAAAAUUUUACAUUGAACUCAUUCCCACACAUUUGGCUUAUUCUAACUAAGUUAGCCUUUAAACCUUCAUAUAAGACCUCUUCAAGAUUAGGAAUUUCGGGGGCACAAAUGGUACCUUUGUCUUUCACCCUAGCCACAUUACCAUAUCUAAAUGUCACAUUUCCUCCAUCAAAUUCAGUGAAUGAAGUGAACAAAGAUUUAUUUCCAGUCAUAUGAUGUGAGCAUCUACUAUCAAGAUUCCAUGAGUGUGACUCACUAGCUCUAAGUACGUUAUGGACAACAAAACACUUCAACUCAUUCAUUUACACCCAAAUUUGUUUAAUAUUUGAGACUUGUCUUUUCAUUCAAAGUGCUUCCUUUCAACUCACCAUUAUGAGGGAUCUUUGACCACUUCUUGGACACUCUCUUAUUCUCAUUCAAUAACCUAUUCUUCAAAGUAUAACAUUCAUUCAUUAGGUUGGUAAAUUUCUUUUGAAAAUUAUCAGACAAUCUUGCAUAACAUCUAUAAAAAAUGUGUCCCAUUUUGCCACAAUGAUUGCAAUGAAACUUGAUUUGAGAAUGAGUUUUCUUAGGAGAUUAUUUUUCACAAGGCUUAACAAAAAUUGUUUUACCACUACUUGGAGUAGUAUUUGCAUCAACAAAUCCUAAGCCUUGUUUAUCAAAAAAUUUACACCCUAAAUUGAUCAACUCAUUAAGUCUCUUAGAGCUAGGAUGUGACUCUUCCUUCUUAAGACUUAACCCAUCCUUGAACAUUUGAUUCACUUUUCAAUACAUAAUAUUUUUUCUUCACUUCCAAAUGUUCAUUUUCAAGAAAUCCAAUUUUGUCAAGCAAAACCUUAUUUUCUCCCUUCAAGACAUCAAUCUCAUUGAUUAGAAUAUUCUUAGAAGCCUUCCACUUGACUUGUUCUUGUUUAAGGCUCAAGCACUCCUUAUACAAAGUCUCAUAUGCCGUGUCAAAACUCAUGUCAUCAUCAUUGGAGUCACUUGACUCAUGACUCACUUAUCACUUAAGACCUCUUUCUUGAGUGGUUUCUCAUUGACACUUGCAACAAAGGCUAUGAAGUUAGUGCAUUUUUCACUUCCAUUGGAUUCUUUUUCACUUGAUUGACAAGAUUCUAUGUUGCUUCAAGUGACUUGCAUGACCUUCUUUCCUUUUUUUCUUUGAGGGACAUUUGGCGGCAUAAUGUCCAUUUCCUCUACAUUUAAAGCACUCAAUCUCCAACUCUUUUUUCACACAUUUCUCCAUAUCCUUCUUUUUUUUCUAAUAGAGUUCCUCCAUUUUUACCAUCAUUUGAUUCUUUCUUGGAUUUUAUGAAUUUCAUGUACUUCUUAAUUUUUUUAGUAAACUUAGUAAGCACACCAUUUGAUAUUUUCUCAUCAUCCUCACUUUCGGAACUUAGGGACUCUUCUUUAAUAGUUUUUAAAGCAAUUCCCUUAGCUUUCCUAGGUGAUACAAGCGUCAUCUCAAAGGUUUGGAGGGAACCUACAAGUUCAUCUAUCUUCAAGGAAUCCACAUCCUUAGACUCUUCAAUGGUGGUAACCUUAGCUCUAAAUCUCUCUCGAAGAGAUCUUAAAAUUUUUCUAACCACCUUAGUGUUAGAGACGGAUUCACCUAGAUUGAAGUUAGAAUUCACUAUAUCCAUCAAUUUUGCAUGAAAUUCUCCAAAAGUUUCAUGGUCAUCCAUCCUAAUGGUCUCAAACCUAGAUGUCAACAUUUGAAGCCUGGACAUUUUUACGACAUUAGUUCCUUCAUGAGUCACUUGGAGGAUAUCCUAAGCCUUCUUUAACCAAAGUGCAUGUGGCAAUCCUAUGAAAUUCAUUCGUACUAAUGGCAUUGAAGAUGGAGUACAUGGCUCUAGCUUUAUUCUCACUUGCUUCAUUUUCACUUCUAUCACAUUCCAAUUUUGGCUUGAUAACAUUUGUUAGUUUACCUUCUCUAUCUAACACCUUAGGUGGAGACUAACCAAAUUCAAUGACAUUCCAAACUUUUUCACUUUGCAUUUUGAGAAAAUAUUGCAUUCUCACUUUCCAAUGAGAAUAAUUUUCACCAGUUAAGAAUGGUGGUCUCCUAAUGGAAGAUCUCUCUUAAUGAGGUUCCAUGAUUGAGAUUUAAGGACCGAAAAUGAUUUUUUCUUUAAAAACCCUCUCUGAUACCAAUUGAAAAGGUGAAUCUCAAUAGUGGAAUACACCUAAAUGGGGGUUGAAUAGGUGUUUUGACCAAUUUAUCAAAAUCUCAACUCAAAUUNNNNNNNNNNNNNNNNNNNNNNNNNNNNNNNNNNNNNNNNNNNNNNNNNNNNNNNNNNNNNNNNNNNNNNNNNNNNNNNNNNNNNNNNNNNNNNNNNNNNAAAAAAUGCACACUCUCUCACAAAGAAUGUAAAUUUUUCAAAAAAAAAAAAAAAAAAAAAACUUUCUUUUAUGGGGGGGCGCGGUGCUAUACAUUCUUAUAUAGGUAUAUAUAUAAAAAUAUAGAGACCUCACAGAGAAUGUGAGGGGUUCCUGUUCCUUGUGGGUCACUUCUAAAUCCUACACACACCCCUAAGAAACACACACACACUUUUUUUAUGGUGAACCACGACAAUAUACAUCCUUAUUUGGAUCUCUCUAUAAACAUAUAGAAGUGUGGGAGUGUGUGAGGCUCUCCCUUAUUUGAGUGGGCGUUUCUAAAACCUAUAUACAAAUUUUUUUACAUAUAGAAAUAUGAGAGGUACACGUCUAUUAUCUUUUCAUACCAUAUCUAUAUCACUCACUCUCUCUCUCACGUUUGUUUUGUGUGUAUAUAUAUAUAUAUAUAUAUAUAUAUAUAUAUAUAUAUAUAUAUAUAUAUAUAUAUAUAUAUAUAUAUAUAUAUAUAUAUAUAUAUAUAUAAAGUAUAUCCUUUUUAGGUUGUGCCUUUGAAUUAUUCCACUUNNNNNNNNNNNNNNNNNNNNNNNNNNNNNNNNNNNNNNNNNNNNNNNNNNNNNNNNNNNNNNNNNNNNNNNNNNNNNNNNNNNNNNNNNNNNNNNNNNNNCAAAGAUGAUUCAUAGUCAUUUCUCUUCAUCAUUCAAUCAAAUAGUAGACAAUCAAAAUUAUAAUAAAUUCUUGAAACUGAAAACUGAUGCUAAGAAGAGAAAGAGAGACAAUGAGACACCAUAAAUUUACAUGAAAAAUCUCCGAAGAGAUAAAAAACCAUGGGCCUAUUACUGAUUGAAAACAUCCACUAUGAAAAAUAAAAUCUGAAUACAAGGUUUUACCUACCUCAAGCCAACCAAUCUUUCCCAAACCACUUGACUAGUACCUUUACUUUCAGCUUCUCACCUUCUUCUUUCGAGGCACACUUGGAGUUUGUACCAAGCUCAAUCUCGACCUCUUCUUGAAUUCAUACAAGAACAAAAUGGGUUUUUGCACAAAACUGAGAGAAUGAGAGAUGAAUGUUUCAGAAAUCAACCCAUGUUCGUUUUUAGAAAAUCCAUUUUUUUAAAAAAAUUAUUGGAAAACUUGGACGGAUUUUCUUCAUAGGUAAACACCCUCCAAAUGGUGAGGAAAGAAAAAACUCUCUCACGGCUACUACAGUCACCACUUCCAGAAAUGAGGGAGAUUUGAUUUUAAAUGAGAGUGAAACCUUAAUCCAAAGGUUGAAAAUCGAUCUAAAAAACAUGUUAGUUGGAUCAAUUUACCCCUAUACCUAGAUUGAUCCAAAAACAGGGGAACAAAAGCCUUGCACCAACAAUAUUUCUCUCAGUUUUCUUUACUCAUUUAAAGAUGAAAAAUAGGGUUGAUUCACAUUCAAUCACCACACACUCAACCACAUACCUUGACCUCUUAGCAAGUCUUAAUCUUCAAAGGUCAAGUAGUUCGAAGAGGGAUUGGUAAACCAAGUUAGGGAACACUUAGGAAUUUUUUUCGGAAUUUCCAACCUAGCUAAACACUCACAGGUUCAUUUUUUUAGAAACAUAUAACACCUUAAGAAAAAUAUGUACAUUUGAUUUCAACUUAACAUGACAGAGUCACACUCAUUUGGGUCUAAGAUUUGACUUAUGUAUGCUACAAAAUGUAAUUAAGAGCUUCCCAAACCUCAUUUGACAUGGUGGAACCCUACCUAAGGUACAUCUUUUACAAAAAUACAUACAUUCUUAACAAAUAUAUAUAUAUAUAUAUAUUUUGAAGAAAAAUACUUACAUUUUUUUCAAGCGAACUGUGUGUUGGCGUCGUAGAUCUAAGGAACGGAAACAAUACGAAUUUAUUUAUUUAUUUUUUUAAAUUGAUCUUUAGGGUUAAAGUGCUAACCUUUAGGUUUGGAUGUUUCAGACCUUAAAUUCCAAGUGUUGAAGAUGACAUUGAAGUUGUUGGAAGUCUCGUAAACCCAUGGUCUUUUGCUUGAUGACUCAACUUUAUUCUUGGCACAUUUUUGAUAGGAAGGAAAGAAAGGUGGAGGCUAGAGCUCUCUUUAUCUCUAAAUGGUGGAAGGAAAAAGUGAUGAAGACUCUAACCCCUAGGGGGUAUUUAUAGGGUUCCUAACUAAGCUUAAGUGACUUGAGCCCACAUGGGCUUGGGUAACUUAAUUUAGGCCAAAAUGGAUCCUAAUUGAUUAAUUAACCCAAUAGGGCCUACUAAUUAAUUAAUUAGCUCAAUCUAGAGACUUUGUUCACUUAUCCUUGUGCAAUCUUGUAUAAUUACCAAAACACCCUUAUGCACAAAAGUAAACCUAUAGUCAAUUCGACCCUCAUAACUAUGCCAAAAAGAUAUAUAAGCUCAGAGCGGGGACCACUAGGAUCCAUAAGAGUACUAACUCCCUCAGGAUCCAAUUAUGAAGUUGAUUCAACAUCUUAUUACAAAGAAUCAACCAAACUCCAAUAUUCUAUGUAAAUAACAACAAGACACUACGUGCUCGGGUCUAUGACCUAGUAUCCAUUGUGUUCAGUCUUCCCAUGAACUGGUGUUUUAGUCUAACAAGGUGAAAGCUAUCAACCUUUCAAGACUCUCUACCAUCCUUGUGUUACAAAUCCUCCUAUUGUAUAUUCAAUUGACAUGUCUUAGCUUUCAAAGAGCUUAUGUCAAGUUCUACUUAAGGAACUAUUAUGACCAUAGUUUCCAUGAACACAUCCCCUUAAGAUCACCCAAGGGGACACAUUGUCUCAAUCCCAUGAGAUAUCAUGGUGUCUAUUGAGAAUGCCUAUUGUUACCGACUUCCAUUAACAGUGACCCAAUCCAUAGGGAAUAUAUGAUCAACUUACGAUCUCACCCAUAGGUAAAAGUCAUUGCUAAUUUUAGUACAAUCUCAAUAUUCUCUCAAGGUUGAGAGAUAACACAAUGAAGUAUCUUGGUGAGGUCAUGACUACUUGAUAGUCUUAAGUCAUGACUCAUCAUAGGUCUUGUCCAACGUGUAAUCAUACACAGUAGUGUACUCACCAUGGGAAACCCAUCCCAAUAACGAAGACCAACCAUCCCUCCAAUUAGGAGGUGGUGCACUACAACCUCUAAUGGGUUGCCUAGACCCAUAAACCGGUUGUGAACAAGUCAAUUAUUUGCAAGGAACCCAUGACUUAAAGAUCUUCUAUGCAACUCCUAAUGCACCUAAGUCAUGUACAAUGCAAAAUAUGUUGACAAGACUUCUCAUAAAAUAUAAUACAUGGAAUAAAGAUAGAUAAAAGUGAAAUGGGAACAUCAUUAAAUAAAUAAGGAAUUUCAAAUUUAAUACACCAUGUUAUGCUUUUAAGAGCUCUAUCUUAAGACUAUAAUCCUAUUUGACCUUAUUUAGGUCUAGGUAUUCACUUAUGGAAGCCUGAGAAUGAAUUAAAGGUCUUUCCUUACCUUGUUAGGCUUUUCUAAACCAUAAGAACAUCCUUAAGAAAAAAUACAUAUAUUUUUAUGGAAAACAUGUACGUUCUUAAAAAAACAAAAUAUGUGCGUUUUUUUUAAAGGAGAUUGUGACCUUAUUUUGCCUUAUUUAGGUUUUAAUAUUAACUUAUGGAAGCCUUGUAAUAAUUUUGAGGCUUCCCAUUCCUCGUUGGUCAUUUUUAAAGUCUACGUACAUCUUUAAGAAAAAUAUGCACAUUCUUAAACAAAGUAUGUAAAUUCUUCAAAAAAAAAAAAAAAAAAAACCUUUUCUUUUAAGGUGGACCAUGGUUCUAUUCAUUCUUAUUUAGGUCUAAAUAUUAAAUUAUAGAAGCCUCAUAAUGAAUUUGAGGUCUUCCUGUUCCUUGUAGGUCAUUUCUAAAUCCUACAUACAUCCUUAAGAAACAUACAUGCAAUUUUUUUAAGGUGAACCAUGACAAUAUACAUCCUUAUUAGGAUCUCAAUAUUAACAUAUGGAAGUGUUGGAAUGUUUGAGGCUUUCCCUUAUUUGAUUGGGCAUUUCUAAAACCUAUGUACAAUUUUUUUAACAUAUGGAAAUAUGAUAGGUACAUGACUAGUAUCUUUUCAUACCAUAUCUAUAGCAUUCAUUCUUACUAUCAUGUUUGUUUUGUGAUUAUAUAUAUAUAUAUAUAUAUAUAUAUAUAUAUAUAUAUAUAUAUAUAUAUAUAUAUAUAUAUAUAUAUAUAUAUAUAUAUAUAUAUAUAUAUAUAUANNNNNNNNNNNNNNNNNNNNNNNNNNNNNNNNNNNNNNNNNNNNNNNNNNNNNNNNNNNNNNNNNNNNNNNNNNNNNNNNNNNNNNNNNNNNNNNNNNNNUCAAAAAAAAAAAAAAAAAAAACCCUUUCUUUUAAGGGGGGGCACGGGUCUAUUCACUCUUAUUUAGGUGUAAAUAUAAAAAUAUAGACGCCUCACAAAGAAUGUGAGGUCUCCCCGUUCCCUGUGGGUCACUUCUAAAUCCCACACACACCCCUAAGAGACACACACGCACUUUUUUUAAGGGGAGCCACGACACUAUACACCCCUAUUUGGGUCUCUCUAUUUACAUAUGGAGGUGUGGGAGUGUGUGAGGCUCUCCCCCAUUUGAGUGGGCGCUUCUAAAACCCAUGUACACUUUUUUUAACACAUGGAAAUAUGAGAGGGACACGUCUAGUGUCUUUUCUCACCCUAUCUAUAGCACUCUCUCUCUCUCUCACGUGUGUUUUGUGUGUAUAUAUAUAUAUAUAUAUAUAUAUAUAUAUAUAUAUAUAUAUAUAUAUAUAUAUAUAUAUAUAUAUAUAUAUAUAUAUAUAUAUAUAUAUAGAUAUAUCCUUUUUAGGUUGUGCCUUUGAAUUAUUCCACUUCUAAUGGUUUGAAUUGUUUUUUCUAUUCUAAUGACUAUAAUUACCAUGGUACCAAGAAUUAUGUUUACCACGACCAUGAUUGUGUCCUUAGCCUUGUUCACGUCCAAGUCCAACUCAAUGUCUAGGAGCUUGGACGGAUGUGACAGUUGCUUCUAGCAAUGACACAUACCUAAUAGUAUGAGGUUGAUGAUUCUUCGGUAGAAGUUCAUUAUUUUGUUUAGCCAUAAGAAGACAUUAAACUAAUUCAAAAUAUUUAGUGAAAUGAUGUUCUUGAUAUCGUUGCCAUAGGAGUACAUUCGAGGCAUGAAAAAUGGUGUUCAUUAUUCUUUAAUGAUUUUUUCUCCAUAUAAAUUGUGAACAACUUUUGAAUAAAGUCGAGUUGUGGUCAUUGACAGACUUGAAAUUUUGUAAUCUCAAGUGCAUCUAAUCAUGAUGUGCUUUUGGAAGGAUUACAAUCUCGUGGUGGCCAUAUCAUUAUGUUAUAUUAUUCCAAAGGAUCAAAGUAUCAUUCCAUUAGAUUAUUUCAAAGGAUGAAAAUUCUUUGAUUGUAAGGAAUUCACCUUUUAUUCCUUCAUCAAUGUGAUAAUGAAGGAAUAUUAAUGCUCUAGUACGAUCUUGUGAGGAUGCCUCAUUUUAUUUUUUAAUGGUCUUUUCAAGAUUCAUAUUGUUUAGGUGAAUUUUAGCAUCUAGAAUCCAUAUAAAUAGUUUGCCUGAAAUAGGGAGUGUAACAAACUCAAACUUGGUAAGAUUUGACAUUAUUUGAAAACUAUAUUUGAAAUAAUUUAAUUGGAAUAAUAUUUCAAUUUACCAAAAUGAAUUAUAAAUAAAUGAAUAAAAUUAUCUAACAAUAUUUUAUCAGGUUAAUAUUCAUUAAUAAAAACAUAACGAUUUAAGAUUUUGUUAUAUUUUAUCUCUAAAGGAUUAUUAUAACUAUGGUAAAAAAAAUGCAUGAACAUCAUGUAGUAUUAACAAAAUAAAAAUUACGAAUUGAUAGCUUACAUAGCUUUUGGCUAUGGAUUAUUUUUAUCAUAACAAAAAUGUGUAAAUUUGUAUAUAUCUUUAGGCUAUGAAAUAUUCAUUAUUUAACUUCUAACUAUACAAUUUUGUUUUGUGUAACAUUUGGUUAUAUCAUUAUAAUUAAAAGAAAUUAGAAAUUACGUGUAAGUCAUUCUUUAUAUUUUUAUAACUUUAUAAUUUCUCAUAUAACCUUUGGCUAUACAAUUGUACAUAUUUUACAUAUUUUUUUAUAACUUCUAGUUGUGAUUUUUUUUCAUAAUUUUUGUCUAUAAAAAAAAUAUUUUCAAGUUUCUUCAUCGAAAAAAGGAUAAAUUAAAUAGAAAAUAAUACAAAAGUAGAAGUUUAUCACAUACCUUUUAGAGGAGAAAAAAGAUAUUUUAUGAGAAUAAGUUUGUCCUUUUAGUGUUUGAAUCUUAUACAAAAACUUAUAAUAAGAGUUUUCUUUUGGAGAGACUAGAAUUAGAGAAGAGAUAGAGUUCUAAAAUAACUUUGAGGUAUCCAUUUCAUUGACCCAAGUUUCCUAUUUAUAAGAGUUUGAAAAAACUAGGAUUAAUUAUAAUAUUUAAUUCUUUAUGGGGAAAAAGUAAAAAAUAAAAAAGGCUUUUAAUCAUUAAUUAAGAGUACUUGCUUAAAUACAAAAUUUCACAAAAAUUUAAACUAAAUUCCUUUAAAAAAGAAUAGAUAACUUGUUUUAAAAAAUAGUUAAACUAUGUUAAUUUUAUAUAAUUUGAGUGAGAAAUAAAUUUAUUAUAAAUUGACAAAGUUGUCAUUCACAAAAAGCAUCAAAUAUAUUUGAUUUUUUUUUUCAUUUUCAUUUUUCAUUUUUUUAAGGAAAAAUCAGAUUUAAAUUUUUUUCAUAAAUUGAUAGCUAAAAGAUAAAUUUACAAAAUUUCAAAUCCCCACAUGUUUCCAUUAUUUUUACCCCAUAAAUUAUCCCAUCCUUAAUAAGAUUGAAUUUUGCAAAUUAUUAUUGAUUACUCAUUCAAAAAUAAAAAUAAAUUACACUAAAAAUCAUAAAAUUUAAAUUAGAAAAAUAUUUAAUAUAAAUUUUAAAAAUUCAGCUUUAUAAAAAAUAAAAAUAAUUAUCAAUUCUAAUAAGAUUUUUUUAAUCAAAAUUCUAAAGCAUAAUUCACAUUCAUCUAAAUAUUUAUUAGAAUUAAUAAUUUUUAAAAAUAUAAAUUAAAAUUUGAUACCCCUUCGGAGAUAAAAUUCCAAAAAUCAAUGAAUUAAUUUAGAAAAGAAUACAUAUUUCAAUCUCAAAUCUUCAAAUCUAAACAUAUACUAACUUAGAAAAGUUCUAAUAGUUUCUAACAAGUCUAAGUGGGUAUUUGGUAAAUCAAUUUAAUAACUUAAUUCAAGUUAUUAAAUAAAUUAAAUAUAGUUGGUAAAAUAAUUUAAUGGUAUGACUUAAAGUAAAAAACAACUUUAAGUAAUAAGUAAAAAUAAUUAAUUUAUUCUUAAAUUCAUGUUUUCAUUUUAUCUUUUUACCCUCAUUUAUCUUAGUUCCACGAUUUAUUUUGCUAUUAUACAACUUCCAUCAUUACUUGAUCUCAUUUACCCUCAUUAUAAUUUAUGGGGGUAAGUAUAUUAAUUUGAUGAUUUAGAAUAAAUUUUAAAUUAAUUUUAUUAAAAAAUCUUAAUAUUUAAAGUAAAAAUUAAGUAAUAAGUUUUAAGUCAAUAACUUCAAUAUAAUUUUACUUAAAAUCAACUUAAGUCAUUGAGUAAUAAUUAUUGAGUUUUACCAAACACCCCAUAAUUAUACUUAUUAUCAUACUACCAAUUUCUUAUCAAUUACAUAAUUAUUUAUUAUAAAAUUUUAAUAUGUUAAUGAAUUAUGAUAUUUAAAUAUUUAAAAAUAUGUUGAUUGCAAACUAAUUUAACAAGAAAUAAAAUAAUAUUAUUUUGUAAAUAUUUUUGUAAUGUAAAAGAUAAGUAAUUUAAUAUUUUUUAACAUUUACUAAUAAUUAAAAUAUAAAAAAUUUAAAUAUUUAACAAUACUUAAUUUAUUCAAAUUUAAAACAAAUUUAGAUCUUAGAUAAAAAUACAAUCACCACUGAAAUUUUAAAUAUUUAAAAUACACAUAAAGUUUAAAUAUUUAUUUAAUUUCAGGAAUCUAAGAACUAAGGAAGGGACCAAUAGUGACUUGUCGAUCUAAAAGUAUGCAAGUUCUAUUUUCUUUUCCCUACAAUAUCAUUUUUUUCCUUGCAACAUCAUUUUUGUGGUGGAAAUUAUGCGGAGGACCAGUGUACUUAAUUGACAGGGCUGGCGAAAGCGAUGACGUGGAAUGAUCAAAGCAAUGAGAUGUCGUGGAAGCAACCAACUAUCGGGACGCUUCUAUAUUUUACCAUGCCAUAACAAAAGUUUCCAUAAUUCGCAAGUUCUGGAGAGAUACGAAACCGAGAUAGAAUAUAAUUUAGAAAGGAAAAUGAAAAUGAAAGCUGAGAUAAGGAAUGAGCAUCACCACCUCCUAGAAGUAUCCAAGGGUUUAACCCACUCUCUGAAAUUUGCUAUAAAUACUCAGCAAUUUCCCGUGUUGUUCAUCAAUACUUAAAAGAGUUUGAAUUUAUCAAUCACAUUAGUAGCAAUGGCAGACGAGAUUAUCGUGUUGGAUUUCCGGCCUAGCAUGUUUGGUAUGAGGGUCAGAGUUGCCCUGGCAGAGAAGGGUCUCAAGUAUGAAUAUAGAGAGGAGGACCUGUGGAACAAGAGCCCUUUGCUUCUUGAGAUGAACCCAGUUCAUAAGAAAAUCCCAGUUCUGAUCCACAAUGGAAAGCCCAUUUGUGAGUCUCUGAUAAUAGUUCAGUGUAUUGAUGAGGUUUGGUACGAUAAAUCUCUGCUUUUGCCCAGUGACCCAUACUAGAGAGCUCAGGCCAGGUUCUGGGCGGACUACAUAGACAAGAAGGUAUGCCUUUGCUGUUGAUUUAAAGCAUUCUUUUCCAUUGAUUCAUGGCGAUUGACUCAGAUUUUGAUUAUGGUGAGGGAUUUGUCCAAAAUGCUGGGUUUCUUCACACGUUCCCUUCUGAUAUUGAGUUUUGUGGGCUUUGGGGUUCCAAACUAGAACUUUUACUGAUUCUCCUUGCUGUUUGUUCAACAAGACUAUACUCUGCAUUUCUGAUAUGGGUUUAAAUUUCUUGUUUAUGUUGAAUACGAAUUCUGUUCGUUCCAUCAGGAAAAACAGAUCUCAAGAAUACCUUUUUUCCCCAAGCAAGGCGAAUACAUAAACCAGAUAUUUAAAGAAAGGUGUUUGGUUUUUUGUUAUCUUGCUGUUCAACAUCUUGCACAACAGUUGUUUUAAUAUAUGUUCUGUUUCUUUGAUCUCUUUCUUCUCAUUUUCUGAAACCCAAUUUGAGGGGAAAAACUUCAGCAAAUGAUACAUUCUUUCAGCUGAUUCUGAUCUUUUUUCUUCCACCGGCACUUCAUUUUAUUCUUAGCAAAUGAUAUUUCUAUGCGGAAGAGUCCUUAAUAAACUUGUCCAACUUUACAGAAUUUGAAACUUGAUGAAAUUCUCCAAAAAAAAUAAUCCUUCUCUCUUUGACUCCAUUAUUUUCCACAGCUCUAUGAACUUGGAAGGAAGAUAUGGUCAACCAAAGGAGAAGAGCAGGAAACAGCCAAGAAGGAAUUCAUAGAGUGCCUUAAGCUUUUGGAAGGAGAGCUUGGAGAGAAGCCUUACUUCGGUGGUGAAAAAAUUGGGUUUGUAGAUGUGGCUCUGGUGACCUUCUCUUGCUGGUUUUAUGCAUACGAGACCUUUGGCAACUUCAGCAUAGAGGCGGAGUGCCCCAAGUUGAUCGCUUGGACCAAGAGGUGCAUGGAAAGGGAGAGCGUGUCGUCUUCUCUUGCAGACCCCCACAAGGUCCAUGGCUUUGUCGUGGUGUUGAGAAAGAAGUUUGGUAUAGAGUAGAAGGGGCACAUGGGUCCUCUCUCGAAGACCCCGCAAGGUCCAUGACUUUGUCACGUGGAUGAGAAAGAAGUUUGGUAUUGAAUAAAAGGGAAAUAUCACGGUCUAUGCUCUAUUGAGUAGUGUUGUAUUGGUAAUGUAAGAGGAGUGUUUGCUUAAGUUUGCUAAGUGAUAUGGGUUUGCUGAGCUAUGUUGUUGGAAAUAAAUGUUUUGAAUUUGUUUUGGACUAGAGACGUGUUCCUGUAUUAAAGAAAUAAAAGUCUUUGACUACAUUUCCAUCGUGUCCACAUGAACAACUAUUAAGACAAAUUGGUUAAGACAUGCCCUAGAUAGAAAUAGAUAGAAGUGAGUCAUGAAAUGCACAUAUCUAACCUGCUCUUAUUACCAUAUUUUUUUUUUUUUAAAAAAAACUUUGAUAUGAGAAGUCAAAGAGCAUGUCGUUGUUGAUUUUUUUUUCUUUUUCACAAGAAUAUAUAUAUAUCUUCCAUAAAAUUAUCUUCAUGAAAAUUUUCUAUUUUCAAUUUUUUUUCUCUAUUCCAUUUUCUCAUAUUUAUUGAUUUUAAUUAUUUAUAGAUGUUUUAAAUAUAAAAUAAUAAUAUAAAAUAAAUAAUUAAUAAGAAAAAUUUUAAUAUAACAAUAAAUAAAUAAAAUGUUGAAAGUAAUAUUAUGGUAGGAAGGAUGUAUCACUCUUUUUUGGUUUAAACUAAGAUAUGUUACCAUCAUUUAUGUGCUAGAUGUCUUAUUAAUGGUGAAAUAACGUGAAUUCAAAGGGUGUUAAUGUAACAUUGAUCAACACAACCCUUGAAAAAAUGAAUACCACUCUUUUAUAAAUAAAAAACACCACUAAAUUGUAUUAAAAGUAUCAUUGUAGUGUGAAUGUUGUACUAUUCUUCUUUGGUUUAAGGUAUGUUUCCAUUUGUUAUGUGCUCAACGUAUUAGGUAAUGAUGAAAUAACGUGAAAUGAGUGAAUGUUAUUAUGCAACAACACCGAUCAACACAACCCUUAGAAAAAGAGGGUACCACUCAUUUAUGAAAAAUCUACUAUGUUAAAAGUACUACUAUGGUGGGAAGAAUGUAUCACUUGUCUUUAAGUUCUACCAUGGUAGGAAAAAUGUAUCACUCUUCUUUGGUUUACGGCGAGGUUUGUUACUAUUCAUUACAUGCUCAACGUCAUAUGUGAUGAGGAAAUAAUGUGAAUUGAGAUGGUGUUAUUUCACUAUAACACUGAUCAACACAAAUCCUUGGAAAAAAGGGUACUACUCUGUAGACAUAAAAAAAAUUAGUGGAUUAAAUUACCACUAAUUUGGUCUUCAAAAUGAAUAAAAAAAAAAAUAUAUAUCCUCUUAUGGAUAAGUUUCCUUAAUCUCCAACUAUAAAAAGGAUAAUAAUAAUAAUAAUAAGAAAAUUAUUAUUAUUAUUAUUAUUAUUAUUAUCUUGUUGAUAAAACCUCUUGGGAGAAGAAAAUUUGCUAAAAUCAAGGAACUAAAUCCCUUGAAUUAAGCAACUAAACUCCGAGAAUUUGAAAUUCAAAUUCCAUAUCUUCACCUAUAAAUAGAGGUGUCUUCUUUCAAGAAAGGAGAUGAAGAAAUUGAGAAAUAAAAAAAAAAUUCAGAAAGGAAAAUCCUAAGGAGAAAAUCCAAAGGCAAUUUUGUACAGGAAAAAAAGGUUUCAUAACAAAAGAAAAAGUUUCAUCAAAUUUCUCUGCAAGUUUGGUAAAUGGUAGAACUGCUAAACGCAUUCUUUGCCAUUUAACGAGUUCAUUCGGGAAUAAGCCACUUGUGACCCUCGAUUGAUCUUUGAAAUCAAGAAAACGUCAUCGUCGUCUUCCAAAGUGUGAUUAAGGCAAAAGAAUUAGGGGGGAAAAUUAUUUUGGAAAGAAUAUUAUUUUGAGAUUUUACCCACAAUAUUUUCAAUUUUAAUAAAUGUUUUGUUCGCAUUAUUUUCCUAUUUAUUUUGUUAAUUUGGUAGGACCAUUUAUGAAAUUUGUGGGUACAAAUUUCUAGCACGCCCAGCGAGACUUCUUUGCCUCUCGUCUCUUUUUAGAAGAUUGAUCUCUACUUCAUUGAUGACACCCAAAAGAACUCAAGUUGUGCAUGUAAACAAGGGCAAUGACAAGAUCAUCAUUGCACAAUCAACACAUGACGCCGCUAUGGGCCCCAUGACUCAUAGCAAAGCAAAAUCAACAUCUUCACUCUCAACAAAACAAAUAAGUGAGUUUGCUUGUUUGCUAAAAUCGGUAAGAACGUGUGAUGAGCACCAGCCACUCAUCACAUUGGUCUCUCUAGGGGCAAAGAGCCAUAGUCCUCGUAGUAGGGGAAAACUCACUUCAACACUACAGGACUUAGGAUAAAUCUCCUAGCUCUGUUAUCGAUUCUAACUCUAGCACCGGCUCAUACUCCGAGUCGCCAGCUGGAAUGUCAAAGGAGGAAAACUACUCCAAUCGUUUCGACUCUUUUACUUCUCCCUUCUCGAUGACUAUGCUGGUAAUGGCAACUGGCACUACAUUUGUAGAGGAACAAUUAGUAGAGAUGGCUCAUGGCAUCGCCAAACUCACCAAAAUGGUUGAGGAGAAGGAUAUGCAAAUAGCCUCCCUCAUAAAUAAGGUUGAGGCACAAGUACAAAAUAUGGGUGAGUCAAGUCAAGGACUCAACCACUUUCUGAAUGUUGCAUCUCUUCUCGAUGAUGCACCACAUGCGUAUAGGACAAUCCAAGUUGAGAGACAAAUGGCGGAAUCUGCCUCAAUGGCAUCAUUAUCUAUCCAACAACUUCAGUACAUGAUAACUAACACCAUUAGAGUGCAGUACAGUGGACCCUUACAGAGUACGCUCAUGUACUCAAAACGUUACACUAAGAGGAUUGAUAACCUACGUAUGCCUGUGGGUUAUCAACCUCCAAAAUUUCAAUCAUUUGCAAAAUUUCAAUCAUUUGAUUGGAAGGGAAAUCCAAAACAAUAUAUUGCCCAUUUCAUUGAAACUUGUAACAAUGCAGGUACAGAUGGUGACUUAUUAGUUAAACAAUUCGUCCGUUUUAUUCGAAGGAAUGCUUUCGAUUGGUACAUAGACCUUACACUUAAGUGUAUCGAUAAUUGAGACCAAAUGGAAUGUGAAUUCCUCAAUAGUUUCUAUAACACCCGACGAACUGUAAGCAUGAUGGAACUUACUAACACUAAGCAAUGGAAAGACAAGCCGAUUAUAAACUAUAUCAAUUAUUGACAUUCCUUAAGCCUUGACUACAAAGAUAGAUUAUCUGAGGUAUUGACCAUGGAAAUGUGCAUACAAGGAAUGCAUUGGGGUCUCCUAUACAUUCUCUAAGGGAUACAACCUCAUACAUUUGAAGAAUUAGCUACCAAAGCACAUGACAUAGAGCUCAACAUAGACAACCAUGGUUCUAAGAAGGACCUUACCAUUGAUCGAUAAAGAGAAAGACAUGAUGGGAAAAUGAGUGACAAGACCUCAAAGAAACCUAUUCAGGAGUCAAUGACAAUAAAUAUAACUCUUGUCAAAAUCUCAGCAAGAGAUAAAAAAAAGGAAGUAAAAGAGGUCAGACUAACCCAGGAAAAUAAGAUGUGUCAAUUCAUCUUGAAGGAAUUAGAGGAGAAGAAGUAUCCUUUUCCUGACUUUGAUGUGCCUAACAUGUUGGAAGACUUGCUCCAAAAAAAGGUUAUUAAGUUACUUGAGUGUAAGCAUCCAAAAAGAAUGGGUCGUGUUAAUGAUCCAAUCUACUAUCAUUACCAUCGAAUUGUUAGUCAUCCUAUGGAGAAAUGUUUCAUUUUAAAAGAUCUCAUAAUGAAACUUGCAAAGCAAAGAAGAAUUCAUUUAGAUCUGGAUGAAGUAGUAGAGUCAAAUCAUGCUAUAGUCACAUUUGAGUCAUUUGAUCCUGUUCCAUUACAUGUUCCACUUAAGAAACUAGGGACAUGUGGCAAUACUAUUCAAUGUGAGUCACCAAAACCAAAGCAAACAUAAGUGUCAUGUUAGGAUAGCCUUCUUCGCCUUUGCUCUGAUAAUAAAUCAAUGUCAUAUGACGAAGAAGGUUGGAUAUUGGUGACACGAAGAAGACUUUGCAAGAAGCAAGGGUCGCAUUCAUACCCUAACCUUCUUAGGAGGGAAUGACAUGAGUGGAAUACUCACCAACAUUUAAAGAAGAAAGAAAAAAAGAAUCUUAAAAGAAAACAAGCGAUUGUACAAAUAGACGACUUUUUGGUCCAGAAACUCAUCACCCCUAUCACCCUAGAGAAAUACUUCCCUCUAGGGUUCUUUGAUAAAAGGGUGGCAGUAUCAACUCAUAUGGUCUCUUGCUAAGAGACUUCAAAAGAAGAGGGGUUAAGUGAAGAUGAGGAAAACAUUCUUGGUGUUGAGUCAAGAAAAACUAAGGAAGAAGAGGGGGUUGUAGCAAGCCUACAACACCUACUCUCACUAUUUAGUAGCCACGAAAUGCUACAACUACCUAAUGAGAUACAAAAUGUGUUGAUUCAAGUACUUAAGGAUCCAACACUCUAUGCCACCAAAAUAAAGGGGGCAAAAAGACUUGAGGAUGAAAGCCACAAUUGUGCCAAAUGUUGUGCAGCCAUCAUUUUUACUAACGAAGACCUUCAGUUAGGGUCAAAACCACAUAAUCGACCCCUGUUUGUUACUAGGUACAUACGGGAACAAAAUAUCACUUGCAUUUUAAUUGAUGAAGGGUUUGGAAUAAAUAUCAUGCCUAAAGCAACAAUGAAAUGACUCAGGAUUGCUACAAAAGAACUAACUCAGAGUCGCCUAAUGAUCUAAGGCUUUAAUCAAGGGGGACAACGAGCUAUUGGUAUGAUUCACCUAGAGCUUGUUACAGGUGAAUUGAGUUCGAACACAUUGUUUCAUGUAAUCAUUGCAAAACAUUUUACAACUUAUUACUCGAGCGACCAUGACUUCAUGAGAAUGGGGUAAUUCUUUCGACACUAUACUAGUGUUUCAAAUUCUAUAGAGGAGGGGUAAAGGUAGUAUAGACUGAUACUAAGCCAUUUACAGAAGUCGAGUCUUAUUUUGUUGAUGCUAAAUUUUACAUAGAAAAUGAUGUUAUGCAGGAAGUCCUUCUUGCGAUUAUUCUCUCCACUGGGAAUGCUAAACUUAAGGAAAAAGUUGAGCUAUGUAAGUUGACAUCAGCAGGGAAAUUUCAUAACAAAUGAUGACUCAAAUAAAAAAAAAAGAGAAAUUUUCAAAAAAAUUGACAUUGGACUUGACAAUUCUCACUACUUUCCUAGUUUUUAGGUACAUCCCAAUAUCUCGACGAAGUGAGGGUCAACCAUUUUUCAUAGAAGACAAAAACAAAGUACAACCCUGAGGAUUGGAAAAUGGGGACCUUUAAGUCUUGAAAGAAGAUACGACCAUUCCUCUUCCAAACUUACAACUUAUCUCUAGGGAUGAAACACAAAAAUCCAACAAAACCUCAAGAGAUCAAACAAAGCAAGAAUUCUUUCCUGGUAAAAGAAUAAAUGAGGAGUUCAACCCUAAGACUUACAAGUUAUUAGCCAAGGCAAGGUAUUACUUCACUUCGUCAUCACGAUUAGGAGAACUUAGCCUCGAGACUACAGGUGAAAAGAUGCAUGACUUUAACGAAACUCAAAAAAAGUUGAAACAACAAGGGUAUGCAGUCAAACCUUCUAGUGCAGGUUUAGGGUUUGUACCUUUUGAGCCUAUCAAAAUUUUAGUUAAGACUAAGAAGACUAAGGCAAGUACACAACAUAUCAUUGUAGAAGACAUGGAGGAGAGUAGUGGGUCUAACUCUCCUUCUCGAAUUUCAAUAUUUGAUCGGAUUGAAGCUCUAAUUACAUGAGCUUCAGUGUUCACUAGGUUGGGCGAUUUUAACCAAGUAUAAUGUAAUUUAGCACAUAUUCCACAAAGGUCAAUACAACGAAGGAUUAAUACUCUACCCAAAAGUCACGACGACAAAAUCCCAAUAAGAAGUAGUGUAGUGAACUAAAUAAGAAUGCAAAAAUAAGAAGUUUAAUCCCAUCAAGGAUGAAACACCAUUCAACUUGGGAAAUUUGUACUAAUGGCUAGUUAAAAUUAAAAUGACAUACCAUCGUGAUCACCAAGCAGUCGGACGAGGGAUGCCCUAAAGAUGUUAAAUAAAGUUUGACACACAGUAACUACCAUAUUACAGUAGAAGUUGACUCUAAUUCAGAGUUUUUAGAAGAUGAACUAUGAGAAGCUCCUCAAGUAUUUGAGGACGGGGGGCAGGCCACUGUAGAUGAGUUAAAAGAGCUCAAUUUAGGUACAAAUGAGGACCCAAGGCCAAUUUAUGUAAGUAUGCUUUUAAGUCCUUCUGAAGAGAAAAGUUAUUUUGAAUUGUUACUCAAUUAUAAAGAUGUCUUUGCAUGGUCGUACAAAGAAAUGUCAGGUCUUGAUCCAAAAGUUGUAGUACAUUAACUCACGGUGAAACAUGGUGUCCGAUUGAUUAAGCAAGCCCAAAGACGAUUUUGACCAGAACUUGUUUCGCAAAUAGAAACGAAAAUUUUCAAAUUGAUUGAAGUUGGUUUUAUUAAGGAGGUAAAGUACCCGACAUGGAUUGCGAACAUUGUUCCAGUGAAGAAAAAGAAUGGGUAGAUCCGUGUCUGUGUAAAUUUUAGAGAUUUAAACAAUGCUUGCCCAAAAGAUGACUUCCCAUUACUAAUUAUUAAGCUUAUGGUUGAUGCAACUACAGGUCAUGGAACUUUAUCCUUCAUGGAUGGAUCAUUGGGGUAUAACCAAAUACAAAUGGUGCCAGGGGAUGAAGAACUUACUGCAUUUUGUACUCUAAAGGGUAUUUACUGUUACAAAGUGAUGCCUUUAAGACUAAAUAAUGCAGAUGCAACGUAUCAACAUGCCAUGCAGAAAAUAUUUGAUGACAUGCUUCAUAAGAAUGUCGAGUGCUAUGUUGAUGAACUGGUGGUCAAGUCUAAGAAGAGAGAAGACCACCUGCAAGAUCUUCGUAUGGUGUUUGACAGGUUAAGAAGGUACCAACUUAUGAACCUACUCAAAUGUGCUUUUGGUGUUACUUCUAGUAAGUUUCUAUUUUAUUGUUCGACACCGUGGCAUUGAAGUGGAUCAAUCUAAGAUCGCAACCAUUCGAGCUAUGCCAGAGCUGAGGAAUCUUUAAGAACUUAGAAGUCUUCAAGGACGUCUUACUUUUAUUCGACGAUUUAUUUCAAAUCUUGUAGGACGAUGUCAAUCCUUCAACCAACUUAUGAAGAAAGAUGUCCCAUUUGUUUGGGACAAAGCUUGUCAUAAUCCCUUUGAGAGAAUAAAAAAGUAUUUGGCUAAUCCACCAAUCUUAGGUGCUCUUAUGGCAGGGAAGCCAUUGAUACUCUACAUUGCCGCACAAAAAUGCUCUCUUGGAGCAUUGUUUGCACAACAAAACGAGGAGAACAAAGAAAAUACAUUGUAUUACUUAAGUCAAACUCUAAUGGGAUCAGAACUAAAUUACUCCCUAAUAGAGAAAACUUGUCUUGCUUUAAUCUUCUCGACAAAAAAGCUAAUACAUUACAUGCAGGCAUACACAGUACACUUAAUAGCACACGUUGAUCCCAUUAAGUAUGUGCUAUCAAAGCCAGUUAUUUCAAGACGAUUAGCAAGAUGGGGGUUGUUACUCACUGAGUAUGAAAUAAUCUACAUUCCUUAAAAGGUAAUCAAAGGACAACGCAGACUUCUUGGCAGAUCAUCCUAUCCUUGCAACAUGAAAAAUUUUAGAUGACUUCCCCGAUGAGGAGAUCUUUUAUGUUGAUGUUUUUCCUUCGUGAAUGAUGUUCAGGUCAGCACGUUAUGAUGGAACAGGUGCAGAUGUUGUAUUUGUCUCACAACAAAGAUAGAUACUACCAUAUUCAUUUGUUCUUAGUGAGAGAUGCUCUAACAACGUUGCUAAAUACCAAGCCUUAAUUAUUGAACUACAAAUAGCGAUUGAAAUGAAAAUCACAAGCUUAGAGAUAUGUGGGGAUUCUAAGUUGGUAAUCAAUCAACUUCUAGCCUUGUAUAAGGUUAAAAGUGAUGACUUAGUUCCUUACUUCCAAUAUGCUACCCAACUGAUGGAAAAGUUUGAGCGAACCUCUUUAGUUCAUAUUCCAUGAAAGAAAACUAAAUGGCAGAUGCUCUAGCUAAUCUAGUUGCAAGUUUGACACUGCUUAAGGACGAGACUAUACACAUCACUCUUUGCCAUAAGUGGGUACUGCCGCCAUUGCCACUAUUACAACAAGAAGAAGUAAACGCUACAUCGGUAUUUACUAUUGACAACGAAGAUUGGCGACAACCAUUAAUUGACUACUUAGAGCAUGUGAAGUUACUUGAUGAACUAAGGCAUUGAACAUAAAUACGACAUUGAGCUCCAUACUUCAUUUACUACAAAGAAACACUUUAUCGAUGCUCAUUCCAUGGAGUACUUCUUCGAUGCCUAGAAGGAGAAGAGACAAAUCAAGCAAUUGAAGAAGCUCAUUCUGAGAUCUAUAGGGCUCACCAAUCAGGGCCAAAACUUCAUUUUCGAAUCAAAAGGAUGGGAUACUAUUGGCCAACUAUGGUUAAGGAUUGUAUGGAAUAUGAAAAGAAGUGUCAAUCAUGCCAAUUCCACUCAAAUUUUAUACACAACCCCUUGAGCCACUCCAUCCUACAAUUGCGUCAUUGUAGACCCUCAAUUUUGUCCCUUUAGCACAUGUCUUUAAGUUCGUUUUCAGUGCUUCAAAAUAGUUCCUUGGUGGCCCAUGGCUACUCAUACCACUUACCUUUUUCUGAGUCACCUCGGAGAUUUUGGUGGAGGAAUUAUUUGAUCCUUUAUUGUGACCCUUGGCAGCCCUAACUUAGACUUAGACUUUUCUUGUUUUUUUUUUUUUUUUUUUAGGAUAGCUUUUAGAUACAUUUGGCCCAUUUGGACAUUUUUAGCGUGACUUGUAUGACUUGCAUGGUUACAUGGCUUUUGGGCUCGACUUUUUGUUUAUUGGUUUAUUUUUAUUUUAUUUCAUUUUAUUUAUUUUUACCGUUUCCUAAUUUAUUUACUUGCUUAUUUAUUCAUUCAAUGAUUUAACUUCAAGAUUUUCAUGUUUUUGCAAGGAAACUUACCAUUGGAGUUUAAGGAAGGUGGGACUCUCCUUGGAAGGUUUUGGAGGGGAAUUUGAAAUUGAGAAGAUUGCUUUUGAUUGGAAGAUUUAAAAAAAGGAAGAAAAGAAGAAAGGAAAUAGGAGAAUUUUCCUUUUUGGAAAGAAAUUUAGGUCUUGAGGGGUGAUAUAUAUAGGUGAGAAAAGGAAAAGAGGGGGAAGGAUUUUUUUUGGGGGUAGAGCACGCGUUGGAGGAUUGGGAGGAGAUUUGAGGAGGUUCUUUUUGGAGCAGCAGGCAUUGGAGGAAAAUUUGUCGGGGAAAAGAACAGAGGAAACGAAAAGAGCAAUUGCAACCAAGGCUGUCCAGGUAUGCACCUCGUUGCUUUUGGAAUUCUGACCUAUGUUUGAUUUUUUUCCACGUGAAUAUUUAAUGGUAUUGUUGAUUUUGUGUGGACGAAAGGGGCCACAAUUUGUUUUGUUGAGAUUGGUUGCUUGCUUGUUUGCCUUGUUUUGGUUUUGAUUGUCAUUGAUGUCUUCGGAAGCAUAUAACUCCAUGCCUGAAUGUGAUCAGAUUCUGUUCUUCAUUUAAAUCAUAUUCUGCAUUUGUCUCUCUGUUUUUAGCCCAUGGAUUAAUAUCUGAAGUGGGGGCUAUCCAUGUUUACUGAUCAACACCUUCUGCCAUUUCCUUCUCCAAGUUUUACUUCAAUUUUUUUUAUCUUUUAUCUGUAUUCUUUUCCUCGCAUGGUGUUCGAACCCUUGCUCUUGUAUUUGGGUAUACGUCGAGGAAUGAUGUAAGUGUCAAUAUGAGGGAUGAACUGUGCAACAAUCCCACUCAAAAAUAAUUGAUUCCGAGGUAUUGUAAUGGAUUGUGGAGACUGGAGGUAACGUCUUAUUGGCAUCAGAUUUGACCUUUCUAAUCCUAUGGGAUUCAAUGGCUCGUACAGAAUCGCAACUCCGGUGUUAUUUGCAAGCAUAGCUAAAUGGGUUAAAGCCAAGCUAAUAUUUUCUCUUGCUUCCGAAUGAUCGCGUUAUCAUUGGCCAACAUCACUUCUACCCUUUCCAAUUUUCCAAGCGCUUCUGACCGUAAGAAUAAUGGUCUCAGAGAAAGCAAUUUGACUUGUAAAACAGAGGGUUUCAGAGAGUGUCAGGAAGGUGAUUGAUUUGGGUAGCACUGAAAAAGGAUGGUUUGAACUAGGGUUUUGAAUCACGCCUUGAGUUAUUAGAGCAGUACGAAGAAUUGCGGGAUACCAGUGAUGGAUUGAUGGGUUCGGUGCCGAUUCUGGGUCGUAUUACAGAUUUGGGGCAGAGACGAUUGGUGAUGGCAAUGGGAUUAAUGCAAAUCAGGGAGAUGCUAUUUUUGAGGAAACGUAGUUCACGGGUUUUAGGAAUGUAGUUUCAGAAUUUUCAGAGAUUCUUGAUGUAUUGUGUUAGAAUAUUCUGAAACAGUUUCAGUAUACCGAAGGAUCCAAUACGGGCUUAGCAAUUACUAUAAGGAACAGAAAGAAGGAAAUUGAUGCGACUUCUGCGAACAAGUAAGUUCCAGAUACUUCGGUUGGAAGAACCUUCUCAAUAAGGUGAUCAAUCAGAGGAGGUAUCUUGCACAGUAGACCUUUCUGAUUCUUUAUGUUAUCAACUUGAUCUUGUCUCUUUUGUCGCAUAUGUCAAUUCUGCUCAUUUAUGGAAUUCAAAAUCCUCAUUGUUGUUGCCUGAAAAAGAAAUUACGGCAAUUGGAGAAGACAAUCAGUCUGACCCUUUUUGUUGAAAAUUUUGUUUUGGAAAGAUUUUCUAUUUAAACCUCCCUGCGGGUACUAUUCGAUGAAGUCUUUGGUAAUAAAUUUCAGGAUGCUAUUGAAUUGAUAAGUAUGUAGCCAGUUGCUUCUAAUUUAGCAGCCUGGAAGAGAAUGCGAGUUGUUGAAUUCAUGCACAUGCGAUAUGCUCUGGAAUCUGUGGUGCUUGCAGUUGGAGCUAUGGAAAGAAGUACAUCUUAUCAUCUACUAUUGGUGAGAGAUAUAUUGUUCUUGCAAUGAAGCACCCUGCUGUCUUCUUAGAUAGCAGGUACAUUGACAAUGGGGAUAAGGAUAAGAAGACUUAUACGUCUUCUUAGAAUAUGGAGGAUUCACUCAAUACAAAAGUCACUCUUUUCGUCUCUGGAAUUGAGAAACCACAGUUUAGAGGAUGGAAUUAAAGUUUUUAUGCCCCAAGUUGCAGUAGCAGUUCUGGUAAUACUCAAACUCAGAGCAUCACGGGGUAUGACAGGAUGGCUGGAAUGGUGAUUGGAAGGCUCCUGGCGUCCAGAGAUUCCCUAAGUAGCAGUGGAAGUUUACUACUGGUGUAGCCAUGAUUGAAGUUACAGCUCCAUGUGUAUAUGCUAUCAAAAGAAGAAGGAUACGAGACUCUGAUUUUCCAUACCACUGGAAUGGGUGGAAGGGCUAUGGAGGAUCUGAUCAGAAGGGGAUUUAUACGAUGUGUUCUGGACAUAACAACAACAGAGGUUGCUGAUUAUGUAGUUGGAGGUGUUAUGGCUUGUGACAAUUCCCACCUUGACGUCAUGAAGAUAAGAAAUUUGUCGGCUUUGUAGCAAACGAACUAAACGAAACAGCAUCAAAGGUAAUGUUGACCCGAAUGAUUAGGCUCAUAUUCAGAAAGACAGAAUUUGAUCCAGACUCGAUUUCCUCUGGUUCUGCUACAAAUAAAGAAGUUGAAUUUCUGGACUGCACAAGGACCUUUUAGUUCUGAUUUUUCUUUAGGUGCCAAUCUUACCACAAUGGAAGAUGUCCAGAAUAGUUUUAAUGCAACGCAACUUAGGCUUUGUGGAAGGUUAAGCAAUGUUGAUGGCUAUAUAAUGCCGAUCAUCUUCCCAAGUGUUAUUCUCUGUGGCUGAGUUGUUUUCUGAAGCUGAAACAUAAAGACCCUCUCAAUAAGGCCGCCUCUAUGAAUCUUGCUCAGCAUGCACUGAUCAGCAAUUUCUGGUGAGAUCUCAGCCAGUUCCAGCUGAUAAGCAGGUGAACCAGGCAGGAAGGACCAAUUGGCAAACACUCUUGGGCUUUCCUGGUGGGCAUGAAACCCAGAAUUGCAAUGGGGUAGUUCAGAAUCUGAAUCUAGUUCGACUUGGAGGUCUGAGUCAGACAUUAUAUAAUUAGGAUGGCAAAGAAGACUCCUUACCUACAGCGGCCCAAAUUUAUUAAGUCGUCCUUUGACACUAAAGAGAUCACCGGUUUGCCCUUGAUAAAUUAAUGUCAUCAUGAGCAGAUUUUGUUCCUAUUCUUUAGCUGAGAAUCAAAUGCAUCACACCAUCGAACAGUUGAAAUCUUUGAGUAGGAGCAGAGAAUGAUGCAGAACAGAGAAAACAAUGACCCAGGUCCAACAGGUCUCAUGAGGUUUGAUGGUGAGAUCCGUUCAGCAAUGUUGGGAAGCAACUGGAAAUAUGGGCCUCAUGCUGCUGCAACUCACUUAGACUACAUGGUUGAGUUUACAGUCACUGUGCCAAUUUUGAGUCUUGCUGGAACAAUGGAUAACUUACCAGCUGGUGAACCAUGGCUGCAGAAACUAAAAGCGGAUUGAGCAGGAUGCAACUACUCUCAUUCCAGGAAACAAAGAACUGAAACCACACGAGUAGGACCCUUUGAACAAAAAUGCUGGUAUCAAUACACAUCCUACGUGCCCAUCUAUUAUUCAAUCCAAUUCUGAAGUCCCAGUCAUGUCACCUAGAAAAAGCAAAGGAGAAAUUCAAAGGGAACCCUUGGGCUUGAAAGGAAAGGUUCUUAGUCUUGGAAAGGUUCAGAAAAGCCGGAAGGUGUAGAAAGAAUUCAAGCAGCCACAGAAGGCUUCCUCCAAGCUGAUAGUACCACCUAGCACAGGUUUCGGUACCUUAACCUAUGGAUAUAGUUUGCUCUUGAGAGCGUUCCAUACAUUCGAAACGGCAUCAAUAAGUCACUACUUUUGGAUCAGCACUUGGAACUGGAUCUUAGUACUGUCAUGCUUGGCUGUUGCUUUUGGUUUUAGAAACAUGAACUGCUUAGGUAACGCAUCUGGCUUGGCAGUUAUAAUUAUAAUGUCAGUCACCACCUGCCUAAUGUCUCUGGUUGCUGUACUGUGCCGACACCAGAAUGUCUCCUCUAUAAUUGGCUCCAUGUUCUUCAUUGGCGUAAUUGAAGCUUUCUAUUUCUCAGCAUGGAUCUCUAAGCCACUCCUGAGCAUGCGUGUAAGAAUGGAUAGCAGGGCAGAUUUUCAGGUUCCUGGUCAGAGUGGAAUAAUGGGACAGCCAAAUGAAGACGAAUUCCCCAUGAACUUCCAAAAAUAGACUUAAUGAUAAGAAGAGAGGUGAAAAAGAAUUCAGUGGCUAUUCGAGAUGACUUUUAUGGAUGAAUUCGGUAGAGAAUUGAAAAGAAUUCAAGUGGUUGCAUAUGUGGGUGAGAUUCAAUAGCGUUAACGGAUACUCUUGAUGGCUGAAAUUUAAAAGAAAUGAUAGACUACAUAAGUGAGGUGAUUGAAUUUUAUAAAUAUGAUUAUGGGUUUUGAAUUACAUCGAGAUCAGCACUUGUUGAGAUUAUCAUAUUUAUGCUGGUAACAUUGCAAUCAUAUACGUUUUCAUCCCAAGAGUUUGAUCAUGCGUCAAAAUAUCUAGAAGCAGAGCAAAUUGAAACCUUUUCAAAAUCAGCAGUGGACAGAUUCUGUCCUAAAACACUUGAAGUUGGAGCAUACUGAGGCAGUUUAGUCUUCUGAAAUCCAUACCUAGUUUCCUGAUGAUUCAAGUUCUUUAUUUGACUUUUCCUUUAUAGAGAAAGCUCCUAGUGGCAUUGACCAGCCAGGAAUUCACCAUAUGCUUCAUCAACAAUAAUGUGCAAUUCAGGAAAAACGAGGUUGGAUGGUCAGAAGAAGACUUUGAAACUAGUUCAGGAUCUCAAUCUAGUGAAUCUGAUUUCUCCAGUUUCAGUCCAGAUGAGCUUCUGCAGUUAAUUGGUGAUGCAUCAGUUAUGGGAAAGGUCCUUCAUCAACUAGCACUUCACCUUUAUAAGAAUCCAUCAUGAUUCUCAGCACUUGCUGUUGUCUAUUUUCUGACAUGUAUUAAGCAAAGAUUGGUCUGAAGAGAGAUAAUACAUCCUCUAUCUAGUACACAGAUUCAGACGCUGAAUUCCGUGAUUAUGUUAGUGAGGUCACGAGGGAAGUGUGUAGGCAUCACUAUGCAAAGUGCCUUGAAGUUGUAUCAAUUCGUUUGCUGGAUAAUCGCCCACAAAUUAGCAAAAAUCAUCUUUCAAAAUAUAUGAAGUAUCCUACGUUUAUAGGAGAGCAAUUGAUCAUUCAACACCAAAUUGUUAUCUUCAGGGAAAUGUUGAUAUGAUUGGAGGUGCAAUAGCAUUGACUUGAGAUAGUCAACAGUAUGUGAUCACAGAGUUAGGAUAUUACAACAAGAAGAGUCCAAUGGGCUUAAAUCUUUUUGACAGAAAUUCUCAUCUAUCUUGGACUUUAAGCUAGCGUCUGAUGAAAAACAUCAGAAUCUUCACCCUAUUCUAUGAUAGAUGCAUGCAUUGCAGUAUGCUCGAGAUCAUUGUAGGCCUUUAUCCGAGAAGAAACAGAAUAGAGUGAACCAGGUGUUGAAUAAAGCCCGUGAUGAUGCUGAAAGUAGUGCCUAGAAGAACUCGUUAGAAAGUAACAAAGGCAAUGUCCUCUUUCCUCUCCUCUGAUGUGCCUUCUCCUGUUUGGAGUAUACCAAUAAUUCGGAAACUGCACUCUUUAUCUGUGACUUUACUUGAUGGAAACAAAGGGCAAGAUGGGAAGCCUCACAAGGAAGAGAAGCCUCAAAGUCUAUAUGAGAAUUUAGAAGAUUCUUUUGCCACAAAGGCAGCAGAAGAAAUAUGCUUGCAACAGAAAGAACUUAGGGUAUUUGAAAUUUCUGGAUUGGUGCUGCUCAAUGAGAAUAUACAGAAAAUCAAUCCAAAUGAACCACUAAAAGAAGAAUGCACUACUCUAGGUGAAGUAUCAUGGUUAGAGAAUCACAGAAACGCGUCUGCAAUAAAACGCUCAGAUUCUCCAAUAGAAAGUGACAGAACCAUGAAGCUGCCAGUAGAGGUGCCUGAGGGAGCUGAGGAACCUGCAGAAGAGUAUGAAAACAACAAAGAACUGAUCAUAGAGAAAGAGAGAGACAUCAAGGAAUUUCCAGCCGUGUCCAUUGAAGUUGAAUAGGUUAAAUAGGAACGGCAUUCUGAGACAAUACUCGCUGAAAAUCCUAGAAUGACAGAUUCUGAAGUGCAGACUAAAAAUGUGAACCUAUAGGAUUGUGGAAGACUUCAGCAAAGACUCUAAAAGAUUUCCCAUCACAAAAGCAAUGGAAGCAGAGAUGCUACAGAAACAGAGUGGUAAAAGGAAAGUGGAUGUCUCUGGUUCGGUAUCUGAAAUAUCAAAAGAAAUUAAUAAGGAGGUCAUAGAAGAUGCCAGCACUUGCUCUAACAAUAUUGAUGCUGCAUCCGAAGAGGGGAAAACAGAAGAGUCAAGCUUGUAGGAAACUCAACUGAAUGACAAAUACAAAAAGAUCAUUAAGACUAGCUCAGAAGAUAAGACACUAUAAGCAAAUACCACAAAUGAAACUAGUCCACAGGCUGAAGAGGUUGACAGCAUGAAGCUUGAAGAAACUUUUGAAUUGAUGUCUCAACUUCCAGUUAAGGCAUGUGAGAACACAAACAAGGAGAGUGAAACAGUGGAAAGGUCGAUUGAUAAUGUGCUGAAGAAACCGAUUAAAUCUUCUGGUAUAGUAUCAGAAUCCCAAGAACAAUGUGCUGAAGAAACUGAUUAGACCCUUAAGCUCUUCUCUAGCAGGGUCUUUGAUAUCAAAUGCCUGUCAGAACCCCCAUUCAGUAAACUGCUUCAAUUUGAGCUCAGGAAUCCAAGGAAGACACGGAUAAGGGAAAGUUGAUUACGCCAGAAUCUGUAUUUCUCAAGAGCAACUCAAGUUUACUGGAACUCUUCACCCUUCAUUGGAAUUCAAUAAAACUUUGAACAACAGAGAGCCACAGAAAAGUACUAAAGGAGGGCAGAAUGUAUUUUGGGAUUCAACAUCAGCAGGAUAGUCUCAAAUCUUAUUCCCAGGCUCCACUCCAUCAUGGCAACCUUGCUAUACACACCCUCUCCUCUAUUUACUUUUGUGAUUGGGAACUUACUAUUUUAAGUUGAAUUUUUGAACCAUUGUUCAACUAAACAUUCCCAGCUUUGAAAAAUCCAUCUUAGGAGCAUCUAGGUAUAAAAUCCCAAUUUUAACAUGCUAUUUGCUGCCAUUUUCCUCCGGGCAUGCACUUUCACUAUUUUAUCCGAUUUUUAACUAUUUUCAUGAUUUUCUCGAUUUUCUCAAGCAUGAACAAACUUCAUGAUUCCAAACAAUGGAAUUAAUAGAAUAAAUUCAUGCAAAAGUAAUCAGGGCAUUGGGGGGAGGCCCGACAUUCAUAAUAUUCUCUUCAAUAGUGUCUUGUUUGAUAUUUGAUUGAUUGUGCUUCCUCUUUGUGGUAUAUAUGAGAUUAUUUUGAAUUAGUUGUUGAGUUAAUUUUGUUUCCCAUAGAGGAUUAUUAACUCGCUAAUCAGGUACGCUCUUUCUACCACCACACUUUCCAAAAUUUCAUGAAUAUGAGACAUAACCAUAUUUGAUGCCAUAAUUGAUUGCUUUGAUGCUUGUUGGAUCGUCUUUGAUGAAAAUACAUAUUAUGUGUCAUAUUUCCAAACUAAUCUCUCAUGUUUUGUGAUAGUGUUUGAGAAGCCGUUCAGGUACGCACUUCGACUCUCUCUUAUGGUUGGUUUUCUUAUUAGGCAUGCAAUAUUUGAAAUCACCUAGCCUACUCAGGUAUCCAUAAUUAACUGAUUAAUGGCCACGCUUCCCUUAACUUAGUCAGUAGAGACCUCUUUAGGGCUUAGAGGGGUGCUACCUCCUAGAGGUACCUUCCCAAUAAGUAACCUGAUCCCCGAACCAAGACUUGGGUUUUCAAAGACACGCUUUUCCAAAAAUUAUGGAGUCAUUUUUUUAGGGUUUUAUUUCUUGUUUUAUUUUCCCUUCAAAAAUAAAAAUAAAAUAAGUGGCGACUCCAACUUUUUCAAAAAUCAAUUUUUCACAAUAAAAAGCGAGUCUCGUCGAUCGAGUGGGGACGCACGUGAAAAAUGCGGGUCCACAGUCAUGGCCAUUUGAUGCAUGGGGACUUGACGUGGUCAGACCCAUUACUCUUAAAUCCUUUGUUGGACAUGCUUACAUAUUGCAGCAACAUAUUAUUUUUCUAAAUGGGCAAAAGUUGUUCCACUUAAAGAAGUGAAUAAAGAAAAUGUAGUGAACUUCAUUCGAAGUAAUAUUAUCUAUCGGUAUAGGGUACCAUGAUAUAUAAUCACUGACAAUGGGAAACCCUUCUAUAGCAAAUUGAUGAUCAAUCUUUGUGAGAGGUUUAGUUUCAAACAACACAAUUCAUCAAUGUACAAUGCACCGACCAAUGGUCUCACAGAAGCAUUCAACAAGACUCUUUGCAACUUAUUGAAGAAAAUUGUUGAUAAUUCAAAGAGGGAUUGACAUGAAUGAGUAGGAGAAGCACUUUAGGCAUAUCAAACAACAUAUCGAACGCCUACACAAGCAACCCUUUAUUCCCUUGUUUAUGGUGUAGAAGUUGUAUUGCCCCUUGAGCGUCAGAUCCUUUCAUUAAGGAUUUCUAUACAUGAAGGACUAACUAAUGAAGAUAAUGCCAAGUUACAUCUUCAAGAGUUAGAAGCACUAGACGAAAAGUGACUCGAAGCCCAACAACACUUAGAGUAUUAUCAAGCACACCUUUCAAAAGCUUUAAAAAAAAAAGGUUUGUCUUCGGUCUUUUCAAGUCGGUGAUCUAGUUCUUGCCAUUCGUAGACCCAUUAUCACCACACAUAAGACUAGGAGUAAAUUUACAUCAAAAUGGGAUGGACCUUAUGUGGUGCAAGAAGUCUACACCAAUGGUGCUUAUAAGAUCGUCACUGAAGACGGAUUAAGAAUUGGCCCUAUCAAUGGAAAAUUCUUAAAGCGUUAUUAUGCUUGAGUCACACUACACCCUUAGCUUGCAUGAGCAUAAAUUAUGUCUGGAGCACCAAAAAAAAAAUAAAAAAAUCCGCUAAGUCGAAAACCUAAAAGGACGCCUUAGGUAAAAAUUAGGACAUAUGCUCACAAGAUUAAAAUUUUCUUUUAGCCUUGGCAAAAGUUAGAGCAUGAAAAAAAAAGGUGCUGCAUUUGACUUGAUCCUCUCUCUUUGAAAGGUAUGUAAGCAACUUGGGGAAACCACCUAAGUUCACUCACUACCAAAAAAAAAAAAAAAGGUCUCAUUUUUAUUAAUAAAUAAAUCUGACUAACAAAUGCUAGACUUUAUUACAUCUUAAUAAAAAAAAAUGAAUGAAAGCAAAAAAAAAAAGGGAGCCAAAACUAAGUAAAAAGGUACAAUGAUCACAUCCACACCAAGCAUGCAAGCUCGUCACGUUGAGUCCUUAAGGCUUCUUGAAGUGUCUCUAAAGUUUUGACAUCAACAUCAGUAAGCACAAGGGUUUGGGCGAUAAUGACAUGUUAUUUCCUCAAACGAGAAACAUCAUUAUGUUUAUUGGCUAUAAUCUCAUCAAUCUCCAAGAUUAAGUUAUGAAUGUGCUCUUUUUGUUUACCUAGUUGCUUAAAUUCCUUCUUAAGUGCUUCCUAUUUAGCAUCGAGAGUAGCUAAGUCUACCUUUAAUGAUUGACGAUGGUUUUCCUAUAUACACUUAGAGUUUAAAGCAUCCACAAUCUGAGAUGCAAUAAUAGCUAAACGUUCGCUUUGUACUUCUAGAGAUAUAUUUAUAGAAUGGGUGCGUCACAUUGCAUUGAGGUGAUCUACACUUUCCAUGUACUUCUCAAUCUGAGACUUUAAUGGUGAAGGGUUCACUCCAAUCUUUGUGAUAACAUUGAAAAGCUCAUCAAUUUUUCCUCUUAAUAAUGGGAGACAUUUAUUUGGAAAUUUUAAUAAUCAUCACCUUAGUGCCUUCUCCUAUCAUAAGUGCUUCUUGGCGUUAGGCAUUAAGGAUGAUUUGUUUGACGUCGAAUGUGUGAAUGGAAGUAGAAGGAGCAACCACGGUAGGACAUGUAGAUUGUUGUUCAGUAAUUAAACCUAUAAAUGCUAAAAUUGUUAAUUCAUCAUAUGUUGUAUCUCUAAUUGUGGUCUUUUGACCUCGAGAUUCAAUCAGAACAUCACUUAAGAUGUUAGUAAUACCUUUAUCACCCAAAUAAGAAUGAGACAAAGGUAAUGGGAUGAUAGAGUGAUUAUCUUGUUGUAUGGUCAAGGUAAAGGGUGCUGACUCCCUAAUAGCAAUAGUACUUUCGAACUGAUCCUUAGGAGAGGACUCAUCCCCUUCAUUGACAAAUUGGUUGUCACCCGCCACCUAAGGCAAAUAAUUAUUUUUGUUAGUAUCAAUGCAAAAAAAAAAAAAAAAAAACCUUUUCACCAUCAAGUUCCAUCGCUUGAGUAGAAGUUAGGACGUCAGCAAAGAAGACAUUUACAUCAAGAUGAUAAGAGUUAGUCUCAUCAUAGUACAUAGGGUUGGGUCUAAUUUUUUUCCAUUUGAAGUAACAUUCACUUGUAUCUUCAAAGUUUUUGUUUGAUACAUAAAGACCCUGUGCAUUGUUAUGUUGCUUAAAAGUCUUGUGACAGUGAGUAUUACCACCGUUGAAAAUAGUUUCCUCAUGCUCUGAGUGUGUGGAGGUAUUAGUUUGAUGUCCACCCAUUGAGCGCUUAGAAGAAGCUCUUGAAUCAUCAGGUAAAUCAUCAAAAUCCUUCUCAACAUUGUCUCUAAUAUUCCCCUUAGUAGAAACACUUAAGUCAACCUUGCGCGUUCUACUCUCUAAAGAUCUAGAGGGUAUUUGCCAAGAAGAAUUAGGAGGGGGCUCCAUACAAGUAGUAGUAAGAAUUUCUUUAUCAGGAUUACGUACUCUGAUCCACCAAUCCGCAUAAGCCAAUCUGGUAUAGUAACUUUGGAGUAGGUACCAAGCCUAGUACAUGACUGCCAAUGUUGAUACACCGCCUUUAAAGUUCUAGUGUGAAAAAUCUCUAGCGAACUCUCCGGAAGGUCUUGAAGAUAUACAAACUGCCUAGAAAACCGAUGAGGAUAAUACAGUUGGAUUACCCAAUGAUUACCUUGUCGCAAAGAUAAAUAGUUAGAGUGAAGACUUAUGAGAUAAGAAGCUUUGGUAACACUAAUAGAUUCAUUAUCAGUCCAGUGCACAUGCCUCUUGUGGCGCAAUGCCAAGUGGUCUAGCUUUACGCCUUUGCAAGACAUUAUCAAAGCCUAAGCUUGCAAAUCAUCAAAACACUUAACAAAAAACUCGCCAGUGUAAUAAGUCAUCCGUGGGGGAUGGCUCCAAGAAGGAGAAAUGAAAUGGGUAUCGAAAUAUUCAUUUAACCAUCCGUAUAAGUAAUGAAUAGGGAAAAUAGAUGCAUUAGUCCCAGGCUUUGAAGAAUAAGUGAUUUUAUUUAAGCUGUUGUAAAUACUUCCUAACACCAAAACAACAAGGCUAAAUGUCUCACCUUGAGCCAUUUUACUAGCUACCUUGAAGACUUUAGGAUGAAUCAAAUUGACACCUCCCAAGGAAGAACGAACUUGUAUAACCAACAUGCUAAGAAAGCGCCUAAGUAUCCUUCACAUCUGCCUCAGCUAUGCCAAGGUUGUAAAAAAUUUCCAUCUCUGACUGAAUACGAGAUUUAAUAGGAUCAAUUUCCCCAGAGGGGUUAUGAGUCUCCUUAGGCCUUUACGCCUUAUUCCUUGUACUUUUAUUUGGAAGUUUUGCAUACUUCAUGGAGCCUUUAUACCAAAAUGACACCCAAGAGGCUAACUUGACUGAAGACUUCCCUUUCGUGUUAGAGCAAAUUCGAUGAUAUGCAAGGAAUAAGUUUUGACAACUUGGUGGGAGUGAGGGCUUUGUCACAUCAUUAGAUAACUCUUCCAUGCUCGGUACCAUCUCAUCAUAAAAAGAUCCAAUGAUGGGUAGUCCAACAAUAUGAUACAAGUCCCAAAGAGAGAUGGAAACCUCUCUAAUGGAAGUAUGCAAGGUGUUAGUGGUAGGACACCAACGUUCACAAAAGGCCCUAAUCACAGAGGCAUGACAAUCAUAGCUGAAUAAGGACGCAAAAAUAGCUUCAUAAAGCUUACAUCCUUUAAGAAAUGGUCCAUGCCGGUCCAAUACCUCCUCUACCCAUUCCCAAUAUCCUUCGAUAAAGAAAUAUUCCCUUAGUACUUUGAAUGAACUUCCCCAUUUAGCUUCUCCGUCAUGAACACAAGAACCAAACUAUCCAAAUUCAUCAUGAACUUUAGUAGUAGUUGGGUGAGAGGAAUUCAACAACAGAACAUCAGAAACAAGUUUCACCUUAUUGAGUUUUGAAUUGCCGAUAUUUGUAAGCUUGCAAGAUGCAACUCGGGACAAGGAAGAAAUGUGUAAUGGGUCCUUUGUCACUGGUACUGACAAAGAUUGAAGGUCAGUAAGUGACUUAUGCACUGACAAGGUAGUCCCCUCCUCAAAAUCUUCACUAUCAUCCUCAAGAAUAGUUACAAUCUUCUAUUUGAAACAUUUGAAGAACGCCAUCCUACAUAAAAAGGAAAAAGAAGGUAGAGAGAGAGAUAAAUAAAACAUGGGUAUAAGUUUUUAGAUACCACUAUGCAUUUAAGUCAGAUCAAUUCACAUGAGUGAAGACCUUAGCACUUAAGUCAUAUAAAGUGUUGAAAGUACAAUACCGCAUAGCAUCAGGGCCAUAACUUGUUUGCAUAGAUACCGAGUAUUAUUCUAGUUUUAAUUAAAUGUUAAAACUUGAACACAACUAUGCAUUCAAGUCAAGACAAUUUGCAUAGGUGAAGACUUUAGCACAUAAGUGUUGAAAAUACAACACCGCAUAACAUUAGGGCCAUAACUUGUCUACAUAGAUAACAAGUAUUAUUAUGGUUUUAAUUAAAUAUUAAAACUUGAACACCACUAUGCAUUCAAGUCAAUCCAAUUUGCAUGGGUGAAGACUUUAGCACAUAAGUGCUAAAAAUACGACACCGCUUCGCGUCAAGGCUACGAAUUGAUUACAUGAGGGUCAAACUUUAAAUAUUCAUAUGUUUUUUUAUUUUUUAUUUUUAUUUAUUUUUUAUUUUUUAUUUUAUGGAUAUUUAAGUUUAUUAAAAAUUUCCCUCAAGUACUAAGGUAAUUUAAAAAUAAAUAAAUAAAUAAAAUUAAAUUACCUGAAAUCAAAUUCGUCUCUACGAAUAAUGGAGGCUAACAUGUGUUCGAAAAAGGUGAAUCUUUUUCUUCCUUGACAAAAAAAAAAUGAAUAAAAAGAUCACGUGUCAACAUAUAUAUAUAUAUAUCCAUCCAUUUUUUCAGGAGAUCACGUGAAUGGAUUUUAUAUAUAUAUACAUAUAUUAAAUCCUCAUCCUUACAUCAAUAUAUAGAUAUAUAGCCUAGUGAUGACGUCUCCCAAGGCAACCAACAUUGAGGCUCUGUCCCCAUUGACUUCGACAUACACCCACCAAGCUCCAAAAUAUAUAUAUGCAUUUAAAAAAAAAAUACUUACAGGUUUGAAGAGGUGAAGACUUCUUACGGUAAUUCAAGUCAAGUUUCUUAAAAUUGGGUUGAAAAUCACCCAAAAAUUCAAAAAAAAUAAAAGAAUAUGAAAGGAUUCAAGUCGGGUUUCUCAAGUUGGGUCAAAGAACACUCAAAGAUCAAAAAAGCUCUUUGAAAAAGUUCAAGUCAAAUUUCUUAGCUAUUGUCCCUUUUAUAUAUAAAAAAAACGUAUAUGGGGAUGACAAAUUGGAAGAUGAUUGAAAGUGUAAAGUAAGAAGGAAAACAAAUUGGAAGAGGAUUCAAAGUGUAAAGCAAAAAAGGAAAACAAAGUGGAGUUUGGAAAAAAGUGGGAAAGAAAUAUUUUUUUUGGAAAAAAAAAAAACUUCAAGACUCACCCCAUCCACAUGACAAUGCAUAUAUGUGAUGCGUCUUGAAGUGGGGGUAUUUGUAGACAUAAAAAAAAUUAGUGGAUUAAAUUACCACUAAUUUUGUUUUCAAAAUGAAUAAAAAAAAUCCUCUUAUGGAUAAGUUUCUCUAAUCUCCAACUAUAGAAAGGAUAAUAAUAACAAUAAAAAAACUAUUAUUAUUAUUAUUAUUAUUAUUAUUAUUAUUAUUAUUAUCUUGUUGGUAAAACCUUCCAGGAUUUUUUUUUUCUAAAAUCAAGGAACUAAAUCCUUUAAAUUAAGCAACUAAACUCUGAGAAUUUGAAAUUCAAAUUUUAUAUCUUCACCUAUAAAUAGAGGUGUCUUUUUUCAAGAAAGGAGGGGAAGAAAUCGAGAAAAAAAAAUCCAGAAAGGAAAAUCUUAAGGAGGAAAUCCAAAGGAAACUUUGUAUGGGAAAAGGGGCUUCACAACAAAAGAAAAAGCUUCAUCAAAUUUCUCUGCAAGUUCGGUACAUGGUAGAACUGCUAAACACGCUCACCGCUAUUUAACGAGUUCAUUAAGGAAUAAGCCACUUGUGGCCCUCAAUUGAUCUUCGAAAUUAAGAAAAUGUCAUCGUUGUUUUCCAAAGUGUGAUCAAGAUGAAAGAAUCAGAGGGAUAAUAUUUUUUUGGAAAUAAUAUUAUUUUUGAGAUUGUACCCACAAUAUUUUUAAUUUUAAUAAAUAUUUUGUUUGCAUUAUUUUCCUAUUUGUUUUGCUAAUUUUGUAGGACCAUUUACGAAAUUUAUGUGUACAUACUCUUUUAUGAACAAGGUAGUGUAGAAAAAGUGUAACACUUUUUUUUUUAACUCAGGUAACUCAAGUAAUAUAUCAUUUCUACCAUAGUGAAUCCAUUCUUCUUCUUUAGCGUAUAAAAAGUGACUCCGUUCUUCUUUAGCACAUUAACUUGAAUACGCAACUCAAGUAAUAUAUCAUUUCUACCAUAGUACUUUUAGCAUUUUAGUGGUAUUUUUUUUCUCAUAAAAAUGUGUACCCUUUGAAUAAGCAACCUUUGAGGUGCACAACUUAAUGUUUUAAGAGGGUGCACUAUUUUUUCCUAGCGCAUUUGAAAUGUGUACAACUUCACUAUGCAAAAAAACAUUAUUUUUUAAUAAAAUUAAGAUCAAAUUAAUAUAAAUGAUUAAAUACAAUUUUUAUGAAAAAAAUAUAUUUUAUUUUUUAUUUAUAUAAAUAAAAAUAAAAAAUUUAAUAAAACAAAAUAUUAGAGCCACAACCAAUUUUCUAUCUUAUAUAAUUAAAAAUAUUAAACAUUUUAACCAAGAAGAAAAUUAAAAUUGUGAUCAAGUUACAUCCAUAAGCAAAAAGUUAAAAUAGUGAUUAUCGACUCUAACUUUCACAUAAAAAUUUAACAAUUUUUUAAAAAUAUAAACAAUAAAAUAAUAUGACAAUGUAAUAGGAUUAUAAAAUAAAUAGAUAUUUUAUUUAGGAGGAAUAUAGAAAAUCUUAUGUCCUAAGCUUCUAAAUUUGUUCAUAAUGAAUUUAUUUUUAUAUUAAAUUUGUUUUCAUUAAUUAUUUCUUAUAUAUUUUUAUUUUGUGUCUAGAAUAUCCAUAAAUAAUUGAAAUCGGUAAAUGUAAAAGAAGAAAUAAUGAAAAAAUAAAAUUAAAAAGAUUUCAUGAAGUCAACACAUUAGAAAAUAAGAACAGAAAGGUAGAGAUAUUACGAAGGAGAGGAAAAAGAAAAAAGAAAAAUCAUAUGACAUGGUUGUCAUAUUAAAGUAAAAAGAAAAAAAAAUAAAAUUUUGUAGUAAUUAACUGUGAAAGGAGAUCGAGGGUUACAGGGUAAUUUUAAAAUUUUGAUGAUUUCACUAUUGAAAUACAUGUUUCUAGAAUUAAUUUUUCCAAGAUGUAUGUACUUUAAAAUUUAAAAUUUAAAACUUUAAAUUUUUUAUAUUUUUUAGUUGUUGCAUGAAUAUUACAUCAUUCUCCAUGAAUAGAAUGUGAUAGGGCAUGGUUUUUAAAUCACUUUUAUAAUAAUUUUUUUAUAAUUAACAAGUUUGGCAAAAGAUAUUCUUAAAUGAUUUAAUUUAUAUUCAAUGCUAGUAGUCAUUUUAAUUGGAUAAACUUUUCAAAAGCAAAUUUGAAGAAUUUGGGUCAAAUGUAAUGUGCAUUUUUGUAGGGCCCUCCCAAUGGACCUCGUAAUGCCAAAACUUCUGGCCUUCAUGUUUUGUCAACUUGUUCACACAAUAAGCUCACGAGCUUUACCUUGCUUUAUCUUGUGAGACUUUGAUAUAUGCUUUGUUUGUAUUAAAGAGGUAAAAAAGUUCUUAACCACCAUUCCAUUUUGCACUAAAAAAAAAUUGAUAUAGACAUGCCAAUUGACUUUGUGUGUCAAAUAUUGUCAUGAUGCAUAUGAGAAAAUAAUGUGUCAUUUGACUCCUUUGAGUCAAAUCUUGCCUUUAAGUACAGAGAAAUAUUUGAGAAAUCGCAAGCAUUUUUUCUUUGUUGUUCAUUAAUAUAUGGAAUAGGUUGACCUUUGAAUUAGUCAAGGACAUGGUAGGUCUUUUGGUCUUAUUUUUACUCAAAUUUAUUUGACUCAAAACUGAAGUAGCAUUAAAAAUGAUACUUCAUGUGGUUGUAAAUUUACAUUUCCUAAGGGUUUUCUUCCCUAUUUGAACCAAAAAUUGAUUUUUAGGGUUAGAGGAACACCUCCCCUACAACAGUCAGACAAACUCCAUUGAGUUCCUCUUCCAUUCAAAGAGUGGGUGUGUUUGUUUCCCAAGAAAAUCUAACCCAUUUUAAGUUCAAAAUAAAUUUUUAUCAAAUUUUUCUUUAGAGCUUGGGUUGAUUCAUUUGGUUCUUCCAAAGAUGAGAACUUUUAACUCAAUGACCCAAUCAAAUUACAUGCAUAAUAACAUGAAAAUCUAGAAACUUAAGUAUUACCGUUUCUAAAUAUGACAACUUUUAAUUCAACAACCCAAUCAAAUAAUCAUGCAUAAUAACGAGAAAAAUCUAAAAACCUAAGAACUACCGUUUCCGAAGAUAUGGACUUUUAAUCUAAUAAACCCAUCAAAUAACAUGCAUAGUAACAAGAGAAUCUAAAACCCCUAAGAACUAACAUUGCCAAUUUAACCCAAUAACCCAAUCAACUAACAUGCAUAAUAACUAGAGAAUAUAAAAAAACCCUAAGAACUAAUCAUUGAAACAUGAAAAUUUUGAUAGUAUGGGAAUAACCUAUAAACCUUAAAAUUAUCAAACUUUGAAAAGUAAGAUUUUUAAUAAAAUAGCAUUCUAACACCAUGAAUGAUAACUAGAAAAUUUAAAACCGAACCAAAAUUUUCAAGAUAAGACUUCUAAGAAAAUAGCAUUUUGAUAACAUGAAUAGUAACUAGAAAAAUUAAAACCUAACCAAAAUGUUCAAGAUGAGACUUUCAAUGAAAUAGAAUUCUAAUAUCAUAAAAUAUGUUCCAAAAAAUUUAAAACCUAACCAAAUUUUUGUAUAACCAACUUUUCAAGAUGGGAAUUUUUAAUAAAGUAACAUUCUAAUAACAUAAGAAGUGUACUUGAAUAUGUCUAAGUAUGUUGUCCUAAAGGAGCACUUAAAAAGAAGCUAUUCUAAAAAGAGAAAAGGAAAAUCCUAGAUCUAACUUGGGGUUUCCAAGGGUCACAAUGAGGGGCUAGAUAAAUCCCUCAACUAGAGUCUUUGAGAUGGCUAAAAAAGGUAAGUUGUGUGAGUUGAAAAUGGGCCACCAGGGAGACUACUGCAAAGUAUGAAAAUAGCACUUAAUAGGGCAUGUGCUAACGUAACAAAUGGAAAGUCUACACUUGCAUGCUAGAUUUAUUCUAAGUUGUGCUCACAUCUAUUUUGCAAGGUUGUUUUAUUCAUCUCAUGGACCCUAAGGAUGAAUGAAUGAAAUGCUUUUAUUAAUUCAAUUGAAUGAAUGAAUAUGAAUGGAUAUGAUCUUUGCCAUUUGAUUCUCUAGUUUGGGUUGUGCACCCCAUGAGGGGUACAAGAUUUUUAUUUUAUUGUAAAAAUAUUUUCUUUUCAAUAGAUGGGUUGUAAGCUCCAUUAUAGGAGCAUAUAAUUUUAUUUUUUAUUUUUUUGAUUGUAAAUUUUUUUUUUUAUCCAUUUAUGGUGACCCAAAAGGAAAGGAAAAAUUCUUAAAUUUUCAUUUUUGAGAUCCUAUGGUGACUUAAGAAAAAAGAAAGAUUCUUGAAAGUUCUUGAUUUGAGAUCCUAAUUUGACUCAAAAUUGGGACAAAUCAUAUAUGGUUUUGAAGCUUAGGAAGUUAGGAAUCCAAUGCUUCAAACAAUUUUCUAUUCGGAGUUGAAAUGAGGAAGAUAUAGUCAAUUGAAGUAAGGUUGUACAAAGAGCAUACUAUUUCAGAAUUAAGUUCGGGCCAAAUUGUUUUUGGUUAUUUGGGCUUCUUUUUUAGCUUUUUUUUUUUUUUUUUUUUUUUUUGUGGAAAUUCGACAUUUUAGGGUUUUGUCAAUUUUUACUAACUAAUCUUUGGUUGUAAGAAUAUUUUGAUAAUUUGAAUUUUGUCCAAUUUUUAAUUACCAAAUAUGCAAUAGGAUCCCUAAAGUUCAUGAGAAAUAUUUAUUUAAUUAUUUCCUUGUUUUUAUUUUAUGUUAUCUUUAUUACUUGCUUAUGUGACCUAAAAUAGGAUAAUUUGGUAUUCUUAAUUAGAUAUAAAUUUUCAUGGGCUUUUUCAAAAUAGGAAAACUUAUUUAAAUUGGAAUGUGUAUUGUUAGGAAAUUUAUUUUAAGAAAAGAUAAGUUAGAAAAGAAUUAAGAGUUUCCAUUCCUUUUAAAAAUUAAUUCUUAAUGAUUUUAAUUUUAUUUAAAAUUUUCUUAGAUCUUUGAGAUCUCUAAGAAUAAAAUCUUUCUUUUAAUGAAAAAACUCUUGUUUUUCCAAAUCUUUAUAAAAUAAUAUUUUUCCUAUUUUGCACAAGGUUUUGAUUUAAAGAAAAUAAGUUGAUUUUGAAAAUUCAUAAUAGAUAAUUUAUAAUUAAGAAGGUUACCAAAAUAAGUAUUCAAACCUAAAGAAAAAUGUUUUGGUAUUCUCUAUAAAUUUUCAUGAAAAGAUUUUUCCAAGAUUAUAUAUUUGAAUUGGUUGUUGCUAAUGAGAAUCUUAUUCAUUUGGAACUAUCAUUUUGAUUUUGGUAUAGAUGCUUCUCCAAGCUACUACACCAUACCUAAGAUGGUCCUUCAGGCUCUCUCCUCCUGAGAUAAGGAGGAAACCCCUAUUUGGAUAUGGAUAGUUCAAAAAUAAAGACUAAGAGAGCAAUUUUGUUUAGCAAACGAGUCUUAGUUUAAAAGAUAAAUAACGGAUUUGAAAAACCUCAUGAUAAGAAGGGUUUUCAAUCUUGUAUGUAGAGGUGUCUAAUGGGUCGUGUUGGGCUGACAUGACCUAAUAUUGAUCGGGCCAUUAGGGGCCAAUGUGUCGGGUUGGGUCGACCCAUGCAAGCCAAAUAGGUGACUCGACACGGCCCAUAAGUCCAUGGGCUAAUCGUGUCAUGCUGGGUCGGGUCGUGCUGUGCCGGUGGGCCAUGGCCCAUGGGCCACUCACUUUGUUAAAAAUUUUAAUUUAAUUUUUUAAGUCAUUUUUUCUUAAGUUUUUUCCUUAUUAAAUAAAUUUUAUUUUUGUUACUUUAAACACCUCUAAUAAUUAUAUUUUUAUUUUAUUUUUUAUAUACUUCUAAUAAUUAUACUUUUUAUUUUUUACAUUUAUAUUUAUUGAGUUUGUAAUUGUAAAAUUUAUAGAAAUAUUAGUUUUUUGUUUUUAAAAAUAGUAAAAAAAAAUUACAUUUGAAUUUGUUUAUUUUAUUUUUAUCAAAAUAACAAUAAAUUUAAAAUAAUGGAAUAUAAAAGGAAAUGAAAUAUAAAAAAAUAAUUCUUUUAUUCAAUAUUUCAACAAAUUACAUGAAAAAAUAAUGAGAAAAAAAAAACAAAAGUGAGAAUUGCAUCACUAUAGUUUGAGUACAUCCCAACUAGGUUGGCACCCACCCAACUAUCAAUCAUAUGCAUUACUUAACCUUUAAAAAUUAACUACAUUUAAUAGAUUUAAAAGAAACGAACAACAUAUAAUUCUUCAAUUAUCAUAUUCACUUUUGUCUUCUUAUUCAAUCUUCAUUCUUAUUUUUUCAUCUUCAAUCAUCAUCAAUCUCUUGAACAUCAUUGUUUGCAUUGAGAUGCAAUUUCUUGAAGGCUUCUUUAAGUUCAUCCUCUAAAGUUUGACAUGAAAAAAGUAAAAAUAGUUAUUGAUUUACUUUUUUUACCCCUCAAACUAGUUGUAAUAUAAUUGUUAAGAGGGGUAUUAUAGACAUUUGACAUGUAAUAAAAAGUAAACACUAAAAGGUGAAAUUUAAAAGGGCCAAGUGGGUCGACACGGUGGGCCGACGGGUUGUUUCUUUAGGCCUAGCAUGGCCUGCUCCUUUGGGUCGUGUUGUCUUAGCUUGCUAUAGUGUUAGGCCAUACUGGCCUUGCCUGACCUUUUGGCGUGCCGAGCCACGGGCCAAAAUGGGCAGCCCGACCCAAUGACCCAGAUUUCAUUAUACAUUUGAAUGGUUUGAAUUGGAAGUUUGAUUUAGGACAAAAUCAAUAACCAUUAAAAAAAGAAAGAAUAUUGUAACACCGUUCAUACCUAUUGACUUUCGUUUUUAAUACUAUUGAAAAUUUUCACGAAUGAGAAGGCAACAAAGCAAGAAUUCUUAAGAUUCUAACUAUGCUACAGUCAUGAAAGAAGAAAAAGGGGGGAGAAGUAAUGUUUUUAUACUACAACCCACAAUCAUGAAAUAAGAAAAAAGAAAAUUCCAAAAAAUAUAGACCAAACAACAAGAACUUGCUUAGGCAUCUUCUAUACGUGAUCCUUUCUUGUCACUUGUUUUUUUUCCAUACUGGAAUGUAAAAUCCUACCAUGAGUGUUAAAAUAAGAUUGCCAUACUUAUUAACCAAUUAGUGAGUAAUUCCUACAAGUGAUAGUUUCUUAUAAUACACAUAUUUCUUGUUUACUUGAGCGCUAGUAGUAAUGAUCAUAAUUUUAAUAUAUUGAGAAUGUAAAAUUUUCUAGCAACAAAUAUAUUUAGCCCAUUGUAUUACAAAAAAGUACUAAAUGAAGAAAAAAAAUAGAGAUGGAAAGAAAUCUAAAUUCUCUUUAGUUCAAAGGUAUAAAAUAAAAUCAAAUAUAAUAAAAAAAUUCAAAAUUUUUCAAUCUUUAUGUAGAAUAGAAAAAAGAAGAAGAAAAAGGAUACUCUUGGUGAAACAUGUAAGAAAUGUUAAUUGAAUUUAAAUUUAUUUUUCAUUUUAUUAUUUUUUUAAAAACUUUUUAUUGUUUUAAAUUAAGAAAUAUACUAAAGACAUAGGUUUUAGUGAUUGCCAUAUGUUGGUAAUAAGCAGGGAAUGUCACUAAAAAAUACAAUAUAUUUUAAUUAAAUGUUACCAAGUAUUGUAUAAUGAAUGAGAGAUGAAUGUUCAAAGAACUCAACCCCUUUUUCUUUUUAGAAAAUCCAUUAGAAAAUUUUUCUUGAAGACUUGAAUAAGAUUUCCUUGGAAAGCAAACAACCUCCAAAAGAGGAAGGGAAUGAAGAGCUCACUCACCGAUUGUUGCUCUCUACAAGCUCUCUCCUCCUGAGAUAAGGAAGAAACCCCUAUUUGGAUAUGGAUAGUUCAAAGAUAAGGACUAAUUAGAAAACAAUUUUUUUAACACACGAGUCUUAGUUUAAAAAAUAAAUAACGGAUUUGAAAAAUCUCAUGAUAAGAAGGGUUUUCAAUCUUGUAUAUUUAUAUUGUCAUUCAAUGACUUAAAUUUCAUUAUACAUUUGAAUGGUCUGAAUUGAAAGUUUGAUGUAGGACAAAAUCAAUACCCAUUAAAAAAGGAAAGAAUAUCGUAACACCAUUCAUACCUAUUGACUCUCCUUUUUAAUACUAUUGAAAAUUUUCACAAAUGAGAAAGCAACAAAGCAAGGAUUCCUAAGAUUCUAACUAUGCUACAAUCAUGAAAGAAGAACAAAGAAAAUUCCAAAAAUAUAGACCAAACAACAAGAACUUGCUUGGGCAUCUUCAGUAAGUGAUCAUUUCUUGUCACUUGUUUUUUUCCAUAUUGGAAUGUAAAAUCCUACCAUGAGUGUUAAGAUAAGAUUGCCAUAAAAGAAAUUAUCAAAUAUGACAAUAUUUUUUCUAAUUUUCAAAGAAUUAUCAAAUAUGACACUAAAUUUUCAAAAUAACACUAAAUUUCUUUCUAUUUUGGAUUUAAAAGUGAGUAGUAAAACUAAAAUUAUCAAAUAUGACAAUAUUUUUUCUAUUUUUCAAAGAAUUUCGAAAGCAUUAUAUUUAAUUAAAAACACUUGGCUGAUAAAUAAAUAAACUGAAAACAUGGGAAUUCUGGAGAGCUACGAAACGGAGAUAAGAAUAUAAUUAAGGAAAAUGAAAGUGAAAGCCAAGGAAUGAGCAUCAUCACCUCCUAGAAGUAUCUAACCCACCUCGCUGAAGUUUGCUAUAAAUACCUAACAAUUUCCCUUGAGUUCAUCAAUGCUUGAGUUUGAAUCUUAUCAAUCACAGUAGUAGCAAUGGCAGACGAGAUUAUCUUGUUGGAUUUCUGGCCUAGCCCGUUUGGUAUGAGGGUCAGAGUUGCCCUGGCAGAGAAGGGUCUCAAGUAUGAAUAUAGAGAGGAGGACCCGAGGAACAAGAACCCUCUGCUUCUUGAGAUGAACCCCGUUCAUAAGAAAAUCCCAGUUCUGAUCCACAAUGGAAAGCCCAUUUGUGAGUCUAUGAUAAUAGUUCAGUAUAUUGAUGAGGUUUGGAACAAAAAAUCUCCGUUGUUGCCUAGUGACCCAUACCAGAGAGCUCAGGCCAGGUUCUGGGCGGACUACAUAGACAAGAAGGUAUGCCUUUUCUGUUGAUUUAAAGCAUUCUUUUCCAUUGAUUCAUGGCGAUUGACUCACAUUUUGAUUAUGGUGAGGGAUUUAUCCAAAAUGCUAGUUCUUCACAUAUUCUCUUCUGAUAUUGAGUUUUGUUGGCUUUGGUGUCCCAAACUAGAACUUUACUGAUUCUCUUGCUGUUUCUUCAACAAGACUCCCCUCUGCAUUUCUGAUAUGGGUUUUUAUUUCUUUGUUCUGUUGAAUCCGACGUCUGUUCGUUCCAUCCAAAAAAGCAGAUCUCAAGAAUACCUUUUCCCCCAAGAAAGGGAAUACAUAAACCAGAAUUUUAAAGAACAGAUUUUGGUUUUUCGUUAUCCUGCUGUUCAACAUUUUGCACAACAGUUGUUUUAAUAUAUGUUCUGUCUUUUUGAUCUCUUUCUUCUCAUUUCUUUAACACAAAUUGAGGGGAAAAACUUUAGCAAAUGAUACAUUCUUUCAACUGAUUCUGAUAUUUUUCCUAGGAUACGAGAUUUCUAUGCCGAAGGGUCGUUAAUAAACUUGCCCAACUAUACAGAAAGUUUGAAACUUGAUGAAAUGCUUCCAAAAGAAAAAAAAAAAACCCUUUUCUCUCUUUGACUCCAUUACUUUCCACAGCUCUAUGAACUUGGAAGGAGGAUAUGGUCAACCAAAGGAGAAGAGCAGGAAACAGCCAAGAAUGAAUUCAUAGAGUACCUUAAGAUUUUGGAAGGAGAGCUUGGAGAGAAGCCUUACUUCGGUGGUGAGAAAUUUGGGUUUGUGGAUGUGGCUCUGGUGAC